AUAAGUUUCCACCCCCAGAAAUUUAGUUAGUACCGAGUUUUUGAUGGAACCAAAUGUUGCUUGGUUGGGCCUGCCAUGGGGAGCUGCUGGGAAAGGCAGUAGAGUGAUUGAUAAGAAAAAUAAGAUGGCCUGUUCUUCUGUUGUUGUAGCAUAUUUUUGACUUCAUGCAAGUAUCUAUAGCUGUUUACUGGGAGUAUCUGUAGCUGUUUGGUUUGUCGCUCCGUAGAUAUGAAACUAUUUUUCUUGAUUUUUUUAUAUUACAAUUUUGCGGAAAAUCUGCUUUCACAGAUCUAUUAGUCCAUGCUCAAAAGUUACUACUCCUACUACUUUUUUUUUUGCUACUGCUUGUUAUUCAAAUAAACCCUAAUCUUUCUGAACACUGAUCAGACAAUUAAUUAUGAGCCUUGCCUAAUUCUGGCAUCAAUAUAUGCUCAAGAUCAUGUGUUUCAUAUAUGCCCAAAAUACAGCACAACCCCUGCAAAGUUGAAGAAAGGAGUGCCCUUAAGAAGCAUAUUUGUGCACAUUUUCCAGACUUGACUUUGUCAAUAUAUAAGCUAUAUAUUACGCAGGAUUUUUUUCGCCCUCAAUAAAACAUCGGCCAAGUUUUUACAGGACAAGAUACCUAGUUCUUCACUCUUCCCGCCCUACAUAUAUCUAAUCUAAACCUCUAACUCCUAGUGUUAGCUGGAGUAUAUAGCAUGCCUGGGUGCUACUCUUUUCCCCUUGUCAGCAGUAGAACAUCACCCUCUUCACCCUCUCUUUCACUGCCGGCAUAGUCUUCAUGGCGCCUCCAUUCCUCCCGUUGGCAUUCUUCACCGAGAGGCUAUCUUGGUCCAUGUAGAAACGUGCCCGGAAUGCGGCUAGAUGAGCGUAGUAAACAGGCGGCACUGCUCAAACAACACAACAUACCAAAGGCCAAAGUUCAGAUUUCUCGCCAAAUUGUUACGUUGAAAGAGUUAAUGUAUUCAGCAGGAGCGCGAGAAGGAAGAAAUUACCGACAGAAACAGAUCGUGUGCAACGCACAUACCUGCGACGAAUUCACAUAGCUAGUAAGAUAUUUUUCAAACUGAAUAACGGAAUGCAACUUUGGUUCUGAAAAAGUAUCAUGAAUUAUAGGAUGGGAACAGCAUACGUGUAGCAAAGGUUGUUCGUCAAAGUCUGCAUUUCAUCCGCCAUGAAAUUGUUCUCGUCCCACAGAACAUGAUAAUGUGCUGGCUUACUGGUGCCCUGGCAAUGUCACUGACAUUAGCUAACUCACUAUAAGAUCAUCUCAGCUUUAACAACAUAAUUAUUGUACAGGCUACUCUCUGCAUUUUGUACAUUCAAGCCUAUAAUCAUAGCCACGAAAUAUGAAAUCAAGGCAAUCCUUUCAAAAUUCAAUCGGACACGUCCUUACCUGGAUUCCAGCAUGGCUGCAGAGGUAGAAAUCAAACUGUGUGGGAUGGCAUAUCUUUGAAUCAACAACGGUGCCUAUUUUAGGCACAACCAGUGAGCAGUUAUGAAAAUUUAUUAGGGCAAAGAAAAUGUAAGUCAAUAAGUGAGUUAUCAAUAUCUUGAUGAUGGAAAUGGCAUGGCAUAUACCAGGCAGGAUAUUUCCGCUCUUGUCGGUGCUGCUUUUAUCGUUGUGGUUGUUUGCAAAUAGUUUUGUAUGGUGACGCUUUUGGACUAUCACAAACGUCACUGGAGGUUGGUAAUUUGGUUCUAAAGAUGCACAAGCCUGAAAAUAUCCAAGGGGUCAAUUAGGAUACUUUAACGUGUAAGCAUGUCAACAUAAUAGGUAGAACAUUAGUUGACAACCUUGCGGAUGGCAUCUAACUCGUAAAGUAAUACUUGAUGGAACUGUCCUGCGCUGACACCGUCCCUGCAGAAGAAAAGAAUUCGUAAUUAUCUGAACUUCCAUACAACACAAAACUGUUGGCAUUAGCAAGCCUUUUGUACCCUGCAAGAGACAUCCAACAUGCACAGUGAAGUACUACCUGUAGAAGAUUAUUCUCAAUGGUUUCUGCCCUGUGGCUUUCCUGAAGGAAAUUAAAAGCUCCCUGCAUGAAGUUACACACAGAAAGGAAAUUCAUCAAGCUCAUUCUGUGCAUGGGAGGUCCUGAUAUUUUUUCAGAGAGAUCCAAUGAUCUGAAGUUGGAUGCUCUACUUAACACUUUCGCCGUGCAUGAUGACGGAUGAUCAAAUGCACACAUUGUUCUGUGCUUCUUUGUCGUCUCGAGUGAACUUGUGCAUUAUCUUUACAGAUGAUGUGUUAUUAAGGGUGUGACUCAGUGCAUGAGAAAUACCUGAUCAUGCCUCCGGUGACAGUGCCUCGCUGAGGAUCAUGCCAUGUUUUGUAGAGAUCCUGGAUGAGCUCUUGCCGAUAAGCUUGAGCGCACACCAAUCCAGCGUACUUUGUAACUUCUGGCCAGUCUUGAGAAGCAACAACCUGUAAAAGCACCGUAUUAGAGGAUAUCAUAUGGAAACUUGGUUAAAGAGACAGCAGAGUAAUGCUAAAUCUUACCGCAGCAAUUGAUGGACUGGUGUCCUCUCUGGUUUCAGGAUGCGUUACAUCCGCACCAAAUAUUAUUGUCGGUACAUCACUGACCAAUGGGAUUCUCCGACUUACCGCGUCCAAGAGUACGGUAUUUCUUCCCCCCAUCUGAUUUCACCAAAAUUGUUAAACAUGAGAUAUAGUGAAUUGUCUCUAUCAUCAGAGACUAACUUACUUUCUGAACGUGAAAUCUACGUGUGAAACGAAGACCAUUGGUCCCAGUUAAUAACUACCUUAACAUUGAUUUUGAGUGAGACAUUCGCCAGGUAUCGUUUGCAGAUCUUAAAUACAUGCUUUGCUAAGCAGCACUGUGACAUUAUUCCCAAUUCGGUCUCACAAAUGCGCUUUAUGUCACCUGAAAAUUAAUACUCAUUAUAUGUGAGAAAAGCAGAAAGGACGAGCAGAGGACUGAAAAAUAUUUGCAACAAAGUACUGUACAAUAGGAGGUGAAACUGCAUCCUCACCAUACAAUGCACCAUUGUUGUCAGGGAGGAUUACCAAAAGAAGCUCAAGCUCCUUUCCCUUGGGUUUUUUCAGUGCAGCGUUAUACACAUGCUUAAGCGCCUGUACUGCUUGCUCUGGUCUAGCCGAAUACAUUGGUAUAGCAGGCUCGCUGUUGAACUCCUGCAAUGCCGUUUAACAAAUAACAGUUACUUGAAAAAAUAUUGCUACUGCAACUGAAAAAAGCAAGCCUCUGUAUAAUAUAAUAUACUAGCAUAAAUGAGAGGUAUACCAUGCCUAAAAGUUUACACGUUUGGGCUAACUCCUGGCAAAAUCCACUGGCAGUGCUUUCUUGAACACUUCUUGAGAAGUUAAUGGAUGCCCAAUGAUUCACAGUGCAUCCAUUGACAACUUUCUGCAAAAAUGAUUUUAUUUCAGUGGUGAAUUGACAACUUCAGGCACAAUAGUAACUCUACUACAACUGAGAAGUGAUGACUUCAGCAGAGUGGAUAUUAACCUUGUUUUUCAUGUCCCAUUGGCCAACACGAGGUAAGCACUCUGACUCUUUUCCGGUAUCAUGAUAUUUUAGCUUCACACAGAAAGGCAAGUCAGGAAUGAGCACAGAAUAGCUGGCAAUAGCAAAUUGGAGAACAGCAUUGAUCUUACCCAGGGUGCAGGCAGAACUCUUGCUUCAAUAGAGGUGAGUUUGUCGCUUAUGUUUAUCCCAAAUUCCUUCGCAUAGGGAUCUUGAUCAUAUCCAUUUUUGUGAACGGUCUGAAAACAGUUGCCUUUUAGUCUUUUAGGCAAUUUUGGUAGGGGCCAGACCAUGUUUUAUGUCACUCAAUGUUGUGUAAUGAAACAAAACAAGAAGAAUUGGCAGCGGGCAGUGAAAAUUGUACUCCUCCUAUAUCGGGUUUUGACUGAAUUAUGUUGAAGCACUGACAAAAAAACAGAGUACAUGCACGUUUGGUUCAUAACCGAGCUUUGCCAAGAUUUUCCUGCUAAACUGUGGCAAGCUAAAAAGGGUGUGGUAAAUAAAUUGGUGUCCACAACUUUGGCAAAAGUAUAUGAGUUCGGUGACAGGUGGAGCAGGCUGGUAAGAAAGUGUGCCGCGACACUUACAUUUGUGCCAGUAAAACAAACAGUAGCUACACACAUCUGUCACUUAUGUUGCAAAGUGUGGCAAUGAAGCCAACAAUAUUCUUCAAUGUACUACGCAAGGAUUGAAAUAAACUUGGCAUGUUAAUUAUUGAAAACAACAAAGAAAUUAUUCAAAAUAAAUUUGGCAUGAUAGUAUCUGAAUUUCUUAUGAAUGGUCUCUGCAAAUAUUGCCAAGUUCAAUCACUUUUGAGUAUACCAAGAAACACUUCAUACCCGUCGAAUAUCCAUUUCCUUGUCUCCAGGCCUUUGGCAUGUAACUUUCAGUAAUGAUGUGAUCUGCUUUUCAUUCAACCUCUUCUUGUAUCUCUGACCUUCAACAAUCUUGCAGACCUGUCAAUAAGCAUCUCGUGUCACACAGUAUUCAGUAAUAGUAAAAGCAUCAUGUAUUGCACUGGCUGAUAGGAAGUUUGGGACAGCGCGAGACUAAAGACAUUAGUUACUGACCUCCAUUGGUAGAUAAUUUGGCUUCUUUUGGUUUCCUACAAGAAGGCAGGGAAGAUGUGGUUGCUUUAUGGUGAAACCAUACAUUUCCUUGAAGUACUCUACAACCGAUUUCACUUCAUCGUCAAUUGGGAAACUGUUAUAAGAAAAAGAGCAAAGGCAGGUGCUGAAAUGUUAGCCCAAGCACCACUACUUUGUUUUUUGCAUGUUUAAGUACAUAUUUGCGUAACAGUGUAAGAAAGGAUGCCAAUAUGCCAUGCACCGUCAAUACGCUAUGCACUUUAGGAGUUAGGACAAGUUUGAAUUAGAAUAGUUUAUCUAGCAAUUGUUAACACAUCUAACACCAAAAACUAAGGCCUCCUAUGGUUUGUAGGAAUUCUGUAGGAAUUCCAUAGUAUAGGAUUCCUACAGGAAAAAAUCAAAGAAAUCUAGCGAAGCUGUGGAUGAGGCUGGCUAAGGGAGAAUAUCAUACGGAAACCCACAUUCGGUUGAAACCAGUGAAAACCACGCGAAAAAGAUGUUUUAGAGUUUCGAAAAAAUCUCAAAAAAUAUGGGAUGUUAAGAGGGUGAUGUUCUAUUUUUUCGAGAAAAUGCAAAGGGCUUUUGCAUUUCAUUGCAUUGUAUUGCCAUGCAAAAUUUCAAGUUCAGAUACAUUAGGGAUGUGAGCUAUCAAAAAGACAAAAUCAGCAUUGAAUAGUGCCGAACAGUAACGUCACUAGUCAUUGCUGAAUUUGUCUUUUUCAUAGCUCGCAUCCAUAUGUGUUUUUACUUGAAAUUUCAUGUUACAAUAGAACAUCAUCCUCUUAACAUCCCAUAUUUCACAUGACAAUAGAACAUCAUCCUCCUAUGGCUUCCACGAAGUUUUCUUUAAAUGUUGGUCUCUGUAUGAUAUUCUCCUGGCUGGCUAAUGGGACGGUCAUCUUUCGAACCAAGGUAAAAGGCAAUUAAGUUUCAUCAGAUUCAGACUUACGGUCAGUGCUGAAACCAAUGUCCGAACACCCCACUUAAGAUAAAUUCCUUUAGAGCCCUUUGGUUUGUAAGAAUAGAUUUCCUAUUCCUAUGUAGGAUUGGUUCCUAUCCUUCACAUUUCAAAGGAAAACAAACAUUAGCUUGGACCUAAUGUAAAAAUUCCUAUCCUAUGAACCAAAUGACAUCUCAUUUGCUAUAGGAACUGAGAUACAUGUCAUCCCAUUUCCUAUGACUUUCCUAUUCCCAUGAUACUUCUAUCAUAUGAACCAAAGGAGGCCUAACUAACCGCAUAUAGUUUCAUGUAUCAACCAGUUCAAUGCUCAAGUUGUUAACAAAAACUGCUGUUCAUGCUACAACAUAUUUUAAGUAUUCUAUUUCUCAGAGUAGAACCAUCACCAAUAAGCCUGUCGAAUCAUUUUUCUUCCAAUAUUUUUAAUUAUUACACAAACAUUCAGUUGCCAGUACAUAACUACAAAACAUCCUGGAAUAAACUGAAGUUCCCAUAACAUUUAAUGUCCGGUCAGGUGAAUUUUAUGGCACUAAAACUGACAAUCCUCAAUUAUUUGGAAAGUAAAAUGGAAGGCAAAAAACAGGAACACAAGAAUAGCACCAACAGAGAUUUCAGAACAUACAUUAGCUCAUGAGUUGGUUGCGCUGUCAAGCCGAAGACACGGUAUUUCCGUCUUAAACUUCCCCGGUGAGUGAUUUCGACCUUCAAAUCGUGUAGAGCUUUCUUUAUCUGCUUGACAUCAAACACAACCAUAUAAACUAAUCAGGCAUCAGCCAUGAAGUAUUGAAAAAACACCAGUUCACAACCGAACAAGUACGAAUUUCACAUGGUCUUGCCUAUGUAAUGUAAGUAGUAGUGUAUCACUAGUCUGGAUAUAGCACAUAAGCGCAAGUGUGCAACACAAUUUACCCUGACUCGGUUCGCGUCCGACAACGGCCUUGACAUGACAUCCUUCCCCAGGAUCUGCGCCGCAAAAUCGAUCACCGGCAGCGGCUCGACAAAUGCCGUGGACGACAUGUCUGAAAUCGGCACCCAGGUGUAAGCUCAGGACACACAAGGAAGCAAUCACAUUGAUCAUCAAGAGACAGGUAGCGUUGGGACAACGAAAGCAUAUAGUAUCUCACCGAUGUUGAGUGACAAUCCCAUUUGGGUCGGCCGGAUGCUCUGGUAGAAGCCGAACCACGACUGCAAGCCAUCGCCGAGCCUCUGCGGCGUCCUAAUGUCCGGCGAGUAGAACGACCGCCUUACGGAGAGGUACCUCUGGCUAGCGACUUCCCGCAGCACGACGUCGAGGACCUGUAGGCCCCCCUGCGGCUCAUCGGGUUGCCGCCCCGCCAUGAACUCCCGGAGGUGGCGCAGGUCGGCGCCGGCAGCGAAUUUGAUGGCCACCUUGUACUCCUUCUCCCUGCAGGUACAGGUAGAGGCAAACGAAAUCAAUUAGUCGUCCACAGAGACGGGGCGCGUUAGGGCGUACUGUGAUUGCGUACGGAUCGGCCGAUUGUGUGUACCGGACGGUGGCGCUGGAGACGCCGUCGUCGUCGACGGCGAGGCGUAUGACGAACUCUCGGGCGUCGAAGGGGAGGCGGCCGGCGGUGUAGAGGUUGCUGCGGCCGUCGUAGGCCGGGAGGCGCAUGCCGAGGUCGGACGCGCGGUAGAGGCGAACCAGCUCGGCCACGAUGGCCCGGCUCACGCUCCGCGACCUCACCUCCGGCGUGAUCUUGACCUGCAGGACAUCGAAAACACCACGCCGUGGUGGGUGUCACCGUCAUGGUCACCACGGUUGCCCAUGCACGGCCACGUUGUGUUCGGCGAGAGGCUACGAGUGGCGAGCGACUUACGUCGUACUGGGUGAGGUCCUUGUCGGCGACCUCCGCGAGGAAAUGGUUGGCCUUCACCACGCAGCGCGUGCCCGCCUUCCCGAACCCCGGACGGCGGCAGAGCUCGAGCCCCUUGCUCGACACCGGCGGCGGCUCCGCUGGCGCGACGGCGACAACGCCAGUGCACGCGGCAGGCACCACCGCCUCCUCCUUGCUCCGCGCCCGCGCGCCGUUGCGCCGCGGGCCGCUCGCACCGGAAUUGCACUUCUUGCAUCCCGCCCCCGGCGACCGCGUGGCCGCCUUGGGGUGCGCCAAGCUGCUUUGCAGCGCCUGUCUCCGCGGCGGCCCCGGGCACCCGCCAGCCGCCUUACCACCGACCACCGUCCACGGCACCUCCAAAACCUCGAGCAUCCCGCCGGACGUGGCCGCCGGGAGCCGCACUCACGCAACAAGACAAAGCAGGCGGCACGCGAUCAAGAAUCCAGGCAGGAAGCUCGAUCCGCCGUCCAGCGGGAAGUACCAGCGGGCAGAGAUAGUAGAAGAAGAAAGCCAAGAUUUAGCUAGCAUGCGUCAAUGCGGACACGACGGCACGAGCGCGGCCCGAUCACCACCGGGACAGGGAGCGAGGCAUUCGAGCUCCGCGCGCCAUAAAAGGGAGAGGUCGGCAUUGACGCGACAGCCGCAGCGCGCACGAAAAAGGGUUCGCGGCGACGACGCCCUCCGGCAUUAAAAUCCUUCCUUGUUCCAGUACCCAAGCGAUAACUCCACCUGAGCAACGGCGUUUUUACCAAACGGAGUAGGCGUCAGCGGGGCUAGGGCGGCACUGUAAAAGGUCACGAACAGUGGCGCAGUGGGUGGGCUACAGAAAGGCGGGAGUAUUUUUAUGGAACGGAAGCGGGUGGCGGAGAGGAGGGGGGAGGAAGCCUCGGCGAUCUCACCGAAGAAGGAAUUAAUAUGGCGACCUGUGCCAGCGUGGUGGCCGUGGCGUCGAAAGCAGCGCCGGCCUCAGGUUGGGGUGUGUGCACGCUGUUUUCAAAGACGCACUUGUGUCAUGCGAUGCAUCGAUCUUACGGCCCCUUUCACCACGAAAAUUCAAGUCGUUCCCCGAGCUCAUCUACAUCCGGUUGUAGCAAAAAGAACACCUUGAACUUUUUGUGGUUUAUAAGAUGCUCAAAUGCGUGAUAUUGUGUAAAUUUUCAGCUUGUUUGAACAUUCGAGAAGCUUGUGGCAAAAAAGACAAAACCUGAUAUAAACAGUGUUGCUUUCAAAAAUUUCUCACCCUCGGAAUUUGUUUUUUCGCCACAAGCUCCUCAAAUGUUUAAACAAGCUGAAAUUUUGCAUGAACCUCAUACAUUUGAACAUCUUACACAAAAAAUAUUUUUUUUAUUUUGCUGCUAUUUUUAAAAUUUACUGUUCACACUCGGGGUGUAGAUAACCAUCCAGACCUGCCCAUAUGCAGAAUAGCUAUUUCCCGUUUAGAUUUCUCUCCCAAAAUAUCAUCGGAGCAUGUACAACCGGGCGUCCUAUAUUGGCGUCAACCAUCCAGACCUGCCCAGACACUCUUUGACAAAAAAGAACACUCAACCAAUCAUCCCAAAAUGCAGCCCAACAUCCGGAAUAACAGGCAGCCCCAUAUUCAGCCUAAUAUGUGGGGUGGAUUUGGGACGCAUGGACGUGUCCAUCACGUCGGAUCCAACUCAUUAUGACCCACACCGAUCCCACAUACAUUCAUCCCUAUCCGCUCUCCAUACCAAACGUAGACACUUCACUUCCCUCUGUCCUCAAGCUCUUCUCUGACGAACUCCGGCCUUCUCCCGCAUGACAGGCAGUGAUCUGCCCCGGAGAACUCCUGGUCCAUUGGUCGAGACCUUGUCCCGUGUAGAGAUAAGAGGAGAGGGUCGUAUGCAUGGCUCUCCACCGCUCCCAAGAGGAGUGCGCCCGACCGCGAUAGAACUUGAUACGAAGGGAAUCCAUUGUGUCCGGUCAAAUGUCGCUUGGAUCCGUCAGAGCUAGUAGCGUGAGGCGCGUGACGCCGUAACCAAGAUGUGGUGGCUCAAUCCCUUCGGUGCUACUGAGUCCCCAUGGCGUCGGGCUCCCAGUCGGAGGUCUACACUGGCAUGCCUCAUGGCCCGUCCGUCGUGGACGCGCCGCGUGCCUGUGUGCGAGGAACAUCGUGCGGGAGGGCGGGGAGGCAGAGUCGCACGACACCGGUUAGGCCGCCACUUCGGUCUGUCCACGUCAAUUGUAGACCUUGCCUCGAUCGGUGAUGUCCAGGCCGUGGGCUCCAAGGAAGAAGAGUAGGACAUGGGUGUGAUGCCCCUGCCUCGACCGUGCACUAAUCAUAUAAGCAAGCAUGCAUGAUCAAGGCCAGAGACUCACGGGGAGAUAUGACAACACAACUCUAGACACAAAGACAAUAUAAAGUUCUAUAUUACAAGCGAAGGUCACGAGGACCAAAUACAUAAGUCAGCGAAACGAUAAUAUCUGAGUACAUACAUAAAUAGACAGGUUUGCCUUAAGAAGGCCGAGCAAAACAACGACAACUAGAUCGAAAAGGUGCAGGCCUCCUGCCUGGGGCCUCCUAUCUACUCCUGGUCGUCAGUCUCCACGUAGUAGUAGGCUCCCUUGGUAUAAUAGUAGUCAUCGGCGGGAUCAGUUGGCUCCUGGGCUCCAUCAUCUAAUCGCAGCAAUCAGGUAAAAGGGGGAAAAUAUAGCAAAGCAACCGUGAGUACUCAUCCAAAGUACUCGCAAGACUUACAUCAGAUCUAUGUUAAGUAUGCAUCAGUAUCAAAGGGAAUGGGCUAUAUCUGUGGACUAUACUACAGAAUUGCCAGAAUAGAGGGGAAGACCUAGCCUAACGAAGACUAGCAUCUUGCAGCAACAGAAGACAGUAGAGUAACUUAACAUAUAGUAACAAGUAUAUAUUAGCCAUGCCCAGAGAUCCUUCCUCGUACACCCCAUGAGAAAGCGACCCCGGAGUCAUCAUACCGGUUUAGUAUCACCAAUAUCCACUUUUAGUUGUAAUAGACCGGAAUACAACUCCGAGCGUCUGUUACCGUGGCCACGGCUAUUCGAAUAAAUAAUUUUCCCCGCAUGGGUGCACCAACUUACCCAACACGCUUGAUUAACUUCGGUUGGACACACUUUUCGGGUCAUAUCCGGCCUCGGCUGAUCGACACGCCGUAGUCCCACUUAGGCUCAACAAAGAGGUCAGCACGCCAACUACAUCCUAAGUGCGAAGGGGUCAUGGGCCAAUCAUUCUAAUCACUCCUGAGCGUUGCGCAACUGGCAGGGGACUAGACCCACCUCCUUAUACAAGCGCACGCGGUUACCGUCCACCCCAGCAAUCAGCCCACAUCUCUGAAUUGUGACAUCUAAAGAGCUUUCGGAAGAAUCAUACGACGCCGAGUGCCCAUAACUUAUCCCGCGUGGUGGUUAGUGCGAAAAGGCCAGGGGCCUACUCAGAUCAUACAUCCAAACCCGUUAGUGUGUUGGGAGCUCGCGGUAAUGAUUAAUGCACCUAUCACCCCGUCUCGCGGUCUUACGACAAGGGCCAGGUCCAUCCCUCUCUAGGGCAGUCUGAAGGAAAUAUGCCCUAGAGGCAAUAAUAAAUUGUUAUUUAUAUUUCCUUAUAUCAUGAUAAAUGUUUAUUAUUCAUGCUAGAAUUGUAUUAACCGGAAACUUAGUACAUGUGUGAAUACAUAGACAAACAAAGUGUCCCUAGUAUGCCUCUACUUGACUAGCUCGUUAAUCAAAGAUGGUUAAGUUUCCUAGCCAUAGGCAUGUGUUGUAAUUUGAUGAACGGGAUCACAUCAUUAGAGAAUGAUGUGAUGGACAAGACCCAUCCGUUAGCUUAGCACUAUGAUCGUUUAGUUUAUUGCUAUUGCUUUCUUCAUGACUUAUACAUGUUCCUAUGACUAUGAGAUUAUGCAACUCCCGAAUACUGGAAGAACACUUAGUGUGCUAUCAAACAUCACAACGUAACUGGGUGAUUAUAAAUAUGCUCUACACGUGUCUCCGAUGGUGUUUUUUGAGUUGGCAUAGAUUGAGAUUAGGAUUUGUCACUUCGAUUGUCGGAGAGGUAUCUCUGGGUCCUCUCGGUAAUGCACAUCACUAUAAGCCUUGCAAGCAAAGUGGCUAAUGAGUUAGUUGUGGGAUGAUGCAUUACGGAACGAGCAAAGAGACUUGCUGGCAACGAGAUUGAACUAGGUAUGAUGAUACCCAUGAUCGAAUCUCGGGCAAGUAACAUACCGAUGACAAAGGGAACAACGUAUGUUUUUAUGCGGUUUGACUGAUAAAGAUCUUCGUAGAAUAUGUAGGAGCCAAUAUGAGCAUCCAGGUUCCGCUAUUGGUUAUUGACCGGAGAUAUGUCUCGGUCAUGUCUACAUAGUUCUCGAACCCAUAGGGUCCGCACGCUUAACGUUUGAUGACGAUUUGUAUUAUGAAUUAUGUGAUUUGAUGACCGAAGUUUGUUCGGAGUCCCGGAUGAGAUCACGGACAUGACUAGGAGUCUCAAAAUGGUCGAGACAUAAAGAUCGAUAUAUUGGAAGGCUAUAUUCGGACAUUGGAAAGUUUCUGAGUGGUUCUGGUAUUUUUCGGAGUACCGGAGAGUUACGGGAAUUCGCCGGGGGAAGUAUUGGGCCUUCAUGGGCCUUAGUGGAAAGGAGAGAGCGGCCACAAGGGGAGGCCGCACUCCCCCAUGGGCUGGUCCGAAUUGGACUAGGGAGGGAGCGGCGCCCCCCUCUUUCCUUCUCCCUCUCCUCUCCUUCCUUCUUUUCCUACUUGGACUAGGAAAGGGGGAAACCUACUCCUACUAGGAGUAGGAAUCCCCCCCUUGGGCGCGCCCCUUGAGUCCGGCCCUCCUCCUCCUCCCCUCCUUUAUAAACGGGGGAGGGGGGCAUCCCAUAGACACACAAGUUGAUUUUUUAGCCAUGUGCGGUGCCCCCCUCCACAGUUUUCCACCUCGGUCAUAUUGCCGUAGUGCUUAGGCGAAGCCCUGCGUCGGUAACUUCACCAUCACCGUCACCACGUCGUCGUGUUGAUGAAACUCUCCCUCGGCCUCAGCUGGAUCUAGAGUUCGAGGGACGUCACCGAGCUGAACAUGUGCAGAUCGCGGAGGUGCCGUGCGUUCGGUACUUGAUCGGUUGGAUCGCGAAGACGUUCGACUACAUCAACCGCGUUACUUAAUGGUUCCACUUUCGGUCUACGAGGGUACGUAGACACACUCUCCCCUCUCGUUGCUAUGCAUCUCCUAGAUAGAUCUUGCGUGAUCGUAGGAAUCUUUUUGAAAUACUACGUUCCCCAACAGUGGCAUCCGAGCCAGGUCUAUGUGUAGAUGUUAUAUGCACGAGUAGAACACAAAGGAGUUGUGGGCAUGGGUAUAUACAUAUUGCUUGCCAUCACUAGUUGUUUCUUGAUUCGGUGGUAUUGUUGGAUGAAGCGGUCCGGACCGACAUUACAUGACCGCGUUCAUGAGACUGGUUCUACCAACAUGCUUUGCACACAGGUGGCUGGCGGGUGUCAGUUUCUCCAACUUUACUUGAAUCGGAUUCAAUGAACAGGGUUCUUUCUGAAGAUCAAAAAGCAAUCACUAUACCGCGUUCUGGUUUUUCAUGCGUAGGUAAGAACGGCUCUUACUAAGCCCAUAGCAGCCAUGUAAAACUUGCAACAACAAAGUAGAGGAUGUCUAACUUUUUUUUGCAGGUCAUGUUGUGAUGUGAUAUGGUCAAGACGUGAGUAUAUAAAUUAUUGUAUGAGAUGAUCAUGUUUUGUAACACAGUUAUCGGCAACUGGCAGGAGCCAUAUGGUUGUCUCUUUAUUGUAUGAAAUGAAAUCGCCAUGUAAUUGUUUUACUUUAUCACUAAGCGGUAGCGAUAGUCGUAGAAGCAAUAGUUGGCGAGACGACAAUGAUGCUACAAUGGAGAUGAAGGUGUCAAGCCGGUGACGAUGGUGAUCAUGACGGUGCUUUGGAGAUGGAGAUCAAAGGCACAAGAUGAUGAUGGCCAUAUCAUAUCACUUAUAUUGAUUGCAUGUGAUGUUUAUCCUUUAUGCAUCUUAUUUUGCUUAGUACGACGGUAGCAUUAUAAGAUGAUCUCUCACUAAAUUUCAAGGUAUAAGUGUUCUCUCUGAGUAUGCACCGUUGCUACAGUUCGUCGUGCCGAGACACCACGUGAUGAUCGGGUGUGAUAAGCUCUACAUUCACAUACAAUGGGUGCAAGCCAGUUUUGCACAAGCAGAAUACUUAGGUUAAACUUGACGAGCCUAGCAUAUGCAGAUAUGGCCUCGGAACACUGAGACCGAAAGGUCAAGCGUGAAUCAUAUAGUAGAUAUGAUCAACAUAGUGAUGUUCACCAUUGAAAACUACUCCAUCUCACGUGAUGAUUGGACAUGGUUUAGUCGAUAUGGAUCACGUGAUCACUUAGAUGAUUAGAGGGAUGUUUAUCUAAGUGGGAGUUCUUAAGUAAUAUGAUUAAUUGAAGUUCCAUUUAUCAUGAACUUAGUACCUGAUAGUAUUUUGCAUGUCUACGUUAUUAUAGAUAAAUGGCCCGUGAUGUUGUUCCGUUGAAUUUUAAUGCGUUCCUAGAGAAAGCUAAGUUGAAAGAUGAUGGUAGAAACUACACGGACUGGGUCUGUAACUUGAGGAUUAUCCUCAUUGCUGCAUAGAAGAAUUACGUCCUGGAAGCACCGCUAGGUGCUAGGCCUGCUGUAGAUGCUACUGAUGACGUUAGGAACAUAUGGCAGAGCAAAGUUGAUGACUACUCGAUAGUUCAGUGUGCCAUGCUUCACGGAUUAGAACCGGGACUUCAACGAUGUUUUGAACGUCAUGGAGCAUAUGAGAUGUUCCAGGAAUUGAAGUUAAUAUUUCAAUCAAAUGCCCGAAUUGAGAGAUAUGAAGUCUCCAAUAAGUUCUAUAGCUGCAAGAUGGAGGAGAAUAGUUCUGUCAAUGAACAUAUACUCAGAAUGUCAGGGUACCACUAUCACUUGACUCAGCUGGGAGUUAAUCUUCCGGUUGAUAGUGUCAUUGACAGAGUUCUUCAAUCACUACCACCAAGCUACAAAAGCUUUGUGAUCAACUAUAAUAUGCAAGGGAUGGAUAAGACAAUUCUUGAGCUCUUCAUGAUGCUAAAGGCUGCGGAGAUAGAAAUCAAGAAGGUGCAUCAAGUGUUGAUGGUCAACGAGACCACCAGUUUCAGGAAGAAGGGCAAAGGGAAGAAGGGCAACUUCAAGAAGAACGGCAAGCAAGUUGCCGCUCAAGUGAAGAAGCCCAAGUAUGGACCUAAGCCUGCGACUGAGUGUUUCUACUGCAAAGGGACUGGUCACUGGAAGCGGAACUGCCCCAAGUAUUUGGCGGAUAAAAAGGAUGGCAAAGUGAAAGGUAUAUUUAAUAUACAUGUUAUUGAUGUGUACCUUACUAAUGCUCGCAGUAGCGCAUGGGUAUUUGAUACUGGUUCGGUUGCUAAUAUUUGCAACUCGAAACAGGGGCUAUGGAUUAAGCGAAGAUUGGCUAAGGACAAGGUGACGAUGCUCGUGGGAAAUGGUUCCAAAGUCGAUGUGAUCGCCGUCGGCACGCUACCUCUACAUCUACCUUCAGGGUUAGUUUUGGACCUGAAUAAUUGUUAUUUGGUGCCAGCGUUAAGCAUGAACAUUAUAUCUGGAUCUUGUUUGAUGCGAGACGGUUAUUCAUUUAAAUCAGAGAAUAAUGGUUGUUGUAUUUAUAUGAGUAAUAUCUUUUAUGGUCAUGCACCCUUGAUGAGUGGUCUAUUUUUUACUAAAUCUUGAUAGUAGUGAUACACAUAUUCAUAGUAUUGAACUCAAAAGAUAUAAGUUUAAUAAUGAUAGUGCAACUUAUUUGUGGCACUACCGUUUACGUCAUAUUGGUGUAAAGCGCAUGAAGAAACUCCAUGUUGAUGGGCUUUUGGAAUCACUUGAUUAUGAAUCACUUGAUGCUUGCGAACCAUGCCUCAUGUGCAAGAUGAUUAAGACUCCGUUCUCUGGAACAAUGGAACGAGCAACAGACUUAUUGGAAAUAAUACAUACUGAUGUAUGUUGUCCAAUGAGUGUUGAUGCUCGUGGCGAGUAUCGUUAUUUUCUGACCUUCACAGAUGAUUUGAGAAGAUAUGGGUAUGUCUACUUGAUGAAACAUAAGUCUGAAACAUUUGAAAAGUUCAAAGAAUUCCAGAGUGAACUGGAAACUCGUCGUAACAAGAAAAUUAAGUUUCUACGAUCUGAUCGUGGAGGUGAAUAUUUGAGUUAUGAGUUUGGUCUUCAUUUGAAACAAUGCAGAAUAGUUUCACAACUCACGCCACCUAGAACACCACAGCGUAAUGGUGUGUCCGAAUGUCGUAACCGCACUUUAUUAGAUAUGGUGCGAUCUAUAAUGUCUCUUACUUAUUUACCGCUAUCGUUUUGGGGUUAUGCUUUAGAGAUGGCCACAUUCACGUUAAAUAGGGCACCAUCGAAAUCCAUUGAGACGACACCAUAUGAACUGUGGUUUGGCAAGAAACCCAAGUUGUCGUUUCUUAAAGUUUGGGGUUGCGAUGCUUAUGUGAAAAAGCUUCAACCUUAUAAGCUCGAACCCAAAUCAGAGAAAUGUGUCUUCAUAGGAUACCCAAAGGAGACUGUUGGGUACACCUUCUAUCAUAGAUCCAUAGGCAAGAUAUUCGUUGCUAAGAAUUGAUCCUUUUUAGAGAAGAAGUUUCUCUCGAAAGAAGUGAGUGGGAGGAAAGUAGAACUUGUUGAGGUAAUUGUACCUGCUCCCUUAUGGGAAAGUAGUUCAUCACAGAAAUCAGUUCCAGUGAUUCCUAUAGCAAUUAGUGAGGAUGCUAAUGAUGAUGAUCAUGAAACUUCCGAUCAAGUUACUACUGAACCUCGUAGGUCAACCAGAAUAAGAUCCGCACCAGAGUGGUACGGUAAUCCUGUUCUGAAAGUCAUGUUACUUGACCAUGACGAACCUACGAACUAUGAGGAAGCGAUGAUGAGCCCAGAUUCCGCAAAAUGGCUUGAGGCCAUGAAAUCUGAGAUGGGAUACAUGUAUGAGAACAAAGUGUGGACUUUGGUUGACUUGCCCAAUGAUCGGUAAGCCAUAAAGAAUAAAUGGAUAGUUCGGGUAUAAGCUUCUCACAAACGAGAGCUUCUCACAACAAGCAUGAUGGUUUCGACAGGGAACGUCCCACCUUUGGGGACGAAACAAUAUCCAUUGCCUCUUAUUGCUUUCAAAAAAUUUCUAGUGUCAACAUAGAACAACAGGAGUGUUGUGUCAAUUUUUGUGAUUUUUGGGGUUCGUUUGGACAUUUUUAUGCAUUAACUAGGUUUUCUAGGCAUUUUAUGUGCAUAAUUCAAAUUUGAACUACAAGCACAUGCUCCAAUGCACUAAGGUUGGUUGAAAAAAAUCUAUUACGUGUCCUUGGGUGAAUUUCUAGGUCACAUGCAAGAGAUGGGAAUGAAAUUCAAACACCAUGGCACUGUUGAUUGCCGACAAAACAUUGAGAUGGUUGGUUUUAAAAUUCUAAUAAAUCCAAAACUUGUCUGAAAUUCCUGAAACUUGGCAUGCUACGAUGGAGUGGCAUCAACAUGCCGUGUUAAAACAUUUGUCCAAUUUGGGGAAGGUUCGGGUAUAUGCUUCUCACAACAAGCAUGAUGGUUUCGGUAGGGAACGUCCCACCUUUGGGGACGAAACGAUAUUCAUUGCCUCUUAUUGCUUUCAAAAAAAAUCUCGUUUCAAUAUAGAACAACAAGAGUGUUGUGUCAAUUUUUUAGAUUUUCCGGGGUUCGUUUGGACAUUUUUAUGCAUUAACUGAGUUUUUAAUGCUUUUAUGUGCACAAUUCAAAUUUAAACUACAUGCACAUGCUCCAGUGCAUAUAAAUUGGUUGAAAAAUCAAAUCUAUGUCCUUGGGUGCAUGCUUAGGUCCCAUGCAAGAAAUAGGAAUGAAUUUCAAACACCAGGGCACCGCUGAUUGCCAGCAAAACAUUGAGAUGCCCCAUUUUUAAAUUCUAGUAAAUCCAAAACUCGUCUGAAAUUCAUGAAACUUGGCAUGCUAUCAUGGAAUGGCACUCGACAUGAUGUGGUAUUUUUCGUGUCCAUUUUGAGAGAAGACGCACUCGAAUAAUGACAGCCAACAAAGGCAUUUUGAAAAAAAUAGCCGCCACUUUAAUAUCCCAAAUGUUUGUAUAAUUCAAACCGUGUGCAUUCUGUUAACCAUUCAUGCGACGCCACAUGUCUUGGUUUUAAUGGCUAUAGGAGGUGCCGUGCGGACAACUACUUGACCUUGACUGAAGAGGAGGCGUGCGAGCGCAGUCCGGGGCGCAGGCUGACCGAGAGGGGUGCAAGCUGUCCUCCAAUGCACAUGCUCAUCAGGAAGCGUGCAAGCUGUACGCUGCGCAGGCUCGCUAGGAAGCGAGCCCUUUGACUUCCAUGGAUGCCCGCCUUCCUAUCCAUGAAUGGCGCCCGAGCCACUGUUUAAUACAGGCGGCCUUACUGUUCGCCUCCCAUUCCCCUUCCCCUUGCAGACCUCCACCACCAUGGCGCAGAAUGAUCAUCUGCCACUAGUCUUCAAGUUUGGUGAAGUCGACUCCGAUCCGGAGGAGAUAGAAAAUAAGGAGUAAUGGGGCCUCAUGGACAUGGCCCAGAACGAGCUGGCCGCGACGGUUGCUGCCCCCGCUCCCGUCCCAACGCCCGUGCCAGCGACCAUCUCCGUAGCAUUGACGGGCUGGUCGCCGAGCACUAUCACAGAGCUGGAAGCCGCGGGCGACAGCGAGGUCUCCGCGGACCCGCAUGAACUUGUGUACAAGCCAGCGCCAGCGCCCGUCCCCGUGCGUUUGGCUGCACCCGCCGCGCCCGUGCGCCCCCCCCCCCCAGCGGCAUGGGACGCUGCCGUCAACCGCUAUUCUCAGCGGCGCAAGUUGCCGUCCUCCCGCGCCCCGCCCGUCGACCGCACGACGACAUGAUGUUUGAUUUACAAGUGAAGAACAUUUUCUGCUGCCUUGAAGACUUCAACAACGGCAUCCUGGAGGACGACAACGACGGCGCGGCACGCCGCCUCCGCCGGAAAUAGUUUUUUUGGUCUCGAAUUCUUGAUCAUAUGAAUAUAAAUUCGCAGUGUGACUGAAUGAAAGAUAUGGUUUGAAUGAACUUGCGUUUUUCUCUCUUAAUGUACAGACUUAUCAAAUGAUUUUCUUUUGAAAAAAUGUCAAUGUUAGUUAAAUAUAAAACACCCAUCGCAAACGUUUUAGUUAGAACACCCGUAUGCAAACCGACAGCUUCCCCAGGAAGCCAAGGGAAAAUGUGUCGAACAGGAUUUCUGCAUCCCCUUCAAUGCAAAUGGUUGUUUUGCAUGACCCAUGUGCAACCACGUACAAACAAUUGUGUAAGAUUUGCAUAUCUGUCAUUUUGGGUAUGUUGCCAUUUCUCAAACUGGAAUGAUUGAAAUUUUCUUAUCUAGUAACAUUGCCAUUUGUCAACCUUGUAACACUGCGAUUUGUCAAAAUAUGCAGCUACAAAUCACUAGCACUAUCUAAUUUUUGCAACUAAAAUCACUAGCACUGUUCAUAUGGACACCACCAGCAGGCGUGAGUUCAUGGACGCAUAUGCAAAUGUACCAUUGAUUACAUACAACAAGUCAUCAACCCACAACGACAACGAGGAUACACAUUGUAUUAUAGAUCAUUUCCAACAAAACAUUCUAGUAAAAAAAUUCUCACACAACAAAUAACAAAGCGAUGAAAUGAACUUCAGCUCAACCACUCGUCGGUGUUGGAAACGCUUGCUUUGAACCAGAAGUGAUUCUCUGGGAAGGGCCAGCUACUGUCAAUCUCGAGACCAGUGCACGACUGAUCAUCGAGGCUAAAGCGACCUAUGUCAGGACCCAUAUUGGGAUGGUAGGGAAGCAUAGUAAUGUCCGAGGUAUAGAUAUAGUUGCUUCUCAUAAAUGGUAGUAACGUUGCGUCAACAACAGCUAGAUCGCCUUCCACCAUCAUUGGAUAGUUUUGUCCAAGGAAGAGCGAGUUUCCUCUAAGACUUUCAAUACUGAACCAGGGAGAAGGUGUUGGCGCUAGUACACUAGUAUCCACCCCGAAUACCCUGCAACGGAUGCUGGAAUAGGUCCGGAGAGUGCGACCAUACGAGACAACACCUGCUUCCUUAGUAACAUCAGCACUGCCCUACAUACAGACAAGAAGAGGUGAUCCAUCGGAAUAAGUUCCCAGGCACCACUGAGUAUAUGGGUCCUGCUCGUUCUCAUGCUCGUGAAUAAAAAUUUCAAGUAUAGGUGGUGGAAUGUUCACAUGACCUUGGAAACACAAGAAGGUUAAUUAGUAAAGGGAAACUAGCUAACCGCCAUGCAUGUGGAUGAAACAAUUAUAAUUAUGGUGGAAGACAAACGUAUCGAAAUCAUAAGGAUUCCAUGCAAAAACAGUGCCACGAGUGGCGGCAGCAAGCACAAGACCCUCGUAUUGAAAUGCAUCACAAUACUCAUCCGUGUAUAGAAACUGAUCUUUGAGCAAUAUCCAUCGAGUCGAACCAUGAAGGACGACAACAAGCUUGUCGAAGAUAGCGACAACACAAGCAUUCCUAUAACCCCAAGAGCGGUUGGGAACUUAAAAAAUUGCUAUCUUUCGUAGACGACAGUCAGCAUGAUCGUAUUUGAACUCACGUAGAAUACCGGUGUACUCAACCUCUGGGCAGUCGUCUAAAUUUUUUUGAAGUGGAACCCGAUGACGAGUGUACACAUUCACAAGUUCCCACUCGCAGUUGUACCCAAUAUAAACAACUCAAUCUCCAUUUUCGCCUGCCCAAGCCUUGCCCUCAAGCAAUGGCAUCUUAAAAUCAUACGUAUCAUUAUCAAGCGACAUCAACUUACACAAGGUGAGGCUUCCCUCGUCCCCGCGCCAGUCAGCAGGGUCACGACGAAGAAGAUAAGGGAGAUCAAACCACUCCUGGACCCUUGGAUUCCUUGUAAUGAUGUUAUUAUUUGAGCCGAGAAUGGUCUUGAACGAACCUGCCAUGCUAGCCGAGGUGAUGACGUCGCACCGAUCAAUGAGUUCCUCCACCGCGUCAUCAUUCAGAUCGGGGCAAGAAUAAUGGGGUUGUUUCCGGCUUAAUCCCUCAUGGAGAAGAUGAUCAAACAUUGGCAGAAGGAAGGGUGAAGGAAAAUGGAGGAGGGAGGAAGAGCUAGCAUGCGACAGUAGUUCCAAAUCGAGAGGGAAAGGCGAAGACUCGAUGGACGGUUGCCACGAUACACAAAGAGGCGCCUGGGGAGCGAACGGUUGCCACAAAGGUCACACACUGACGACAUGGGCUGAGUGAACCGCAUGCAAUCCCAUUGCACAACACACACGUCUUGUUAAGUUGAACCGUUUUUGUUCUCUUGUGUCAUCGCAAACAGUUCAUCCGAGUGAACCGCAUGCCGUAUAUCGCACACACCUUGAUCUGGCUGACCAUUUCUUUUGUGUUGCCUAAUCACAAACAAUUCAUCCGAGUGAACCAUAUGCUUUAUAUCCCAUACACCUUCAUCUGGUUGCCCGUUUCUUUUGUGUUUCCUAAUCACAAACAGUUCAUCCGAGUGAACUGUAUGUUGUGUAUCGCACACGCCUUCAUUUGGCUGCCCAUUUCUUUUGUUCCUCCUCAUCGCAAACAGUUAAUUAAACUGAACCAUAUGCCCUUCAUCACACACGCAACUAAAAUCUGAACCGUGUUUGAUGCAUCCGUCAUCGCAAACGUUUUACACAUUUUGGACGGUUUUCAUACACCACCAUUUGCGAUUAUUGCAUCGCACACAGUUUCUUGAAGGGUCUCUGAUCGUAGUGUCGCGUUAGCAGCAUCCUGCAGUAGUGUAUCAUCAUAGUCAUUACCACCAAUACUAUUUAAUCAUCACAGUCAUAGUGUAGCUAUCUAAUCACCACCAACACUGGCUAAUAAUAAUCAUCAUAGUCAUUACCACCAACACUAGCUAUUUAAUCAUCAUAGUCAUAGUGUAGCACAUUAUCAUCUUCAAACUCAUUCUAGCUAGCUAAUCACUCCGGCUGCUCUCUCUUAGGUAAAAUAGCAUAGAACAUGUGUAGCACUCCUGCUUCAUCAUAUUGGAGAAUGCAGAUGAACCUGUCUCCUAAUUGUGGGUUGCGCUUCUAAUUGCUGCCCCCUAGCACUUCUCUGCUGUGGUCCUUCACAAUUUUGCCCCAGUCUUUGACUAUUAAGACUUGCUCGCUUCGAGAAAUCUUGAAUGCACUCAUGUGCAAUGUAGGAUGUCUUAGCCGUAAGCUAACCAUUGUCAUGCGACUUUUAGGCUCGAUCCAAUGAGGCACAACAUUCAUCGGGAGCCCCUGUUGAAGAACAUCAUAGUAACAUACUUAGCAAUGAAGUUUAGCUUAAAAAAUAAUGUAUGCAAAAGAUGCACUAAGGACAAAUAGUAAAAAUCUUACCAACUUUCCUAAAUAGAUGUGACCAUAGUUCAAUACACUAGUGGUCGCACGUUUUGAGUACUAAUAUUUCGAAGUCUAGGAAAAUAACCUGUCUUGACAAUAUCAAGAUCUUCAAGCCAUGAAACAUAAUGACUUAUCUCCUCGCAGUUUAGUUCAACCCCGGGACAGAAGUAGGUGCUGUCUACCAAGCGUCGGACAUGUUUACUUGAAUGGAAAUAAGUUGCCAAUAGAAAUUAGUUGUCAACUAUUUUUAAAUAGACAAUAUCCAAGACAUAAAUAUGGUUGAGAAACUCACAUAAUGGUAGAACUGGAGGCGUCUGCACAUCGACCCAGAUGUCGAUAUUACCUUCAAUUUCAUCUUCUGGAUGAAUAUCAAAGGUGAUAAGCAUAUCAGGCUCAAAUGCAUAAGCCUUGCAUAGUGCUCUCAAUUUUUGCAUUCAAAAUAGGUGUAUGUGUCUGCAUUGUAUAAUUUUACGGCAAAAGUAUAACCAUGCUCGGUCCUUAAGUGAACUCUCUUUACCUCCAUACUUCCAUAGUAUUGAAGCCAAUCUUAUCCAAGACAUAAAUUCUUGCAUGGCAGGGGAUACACUAGUAGAAUAGUAAAAAUUUAAAAUUAUAAGUUGAAGCGAAAGAAGCAGAAGUAAUGCUUAAUUACGAAAAAAAUCUUGUCAUUGUGACUUACCGUAUCCACUUCGAAGUUCUCAUCCAGCAUGAUGUUGAAGCGCCUACCACCAACUAGGUGAGGCUUGUCGCGCAGGUCGCGCCCGUCUUCACAGUAUUCACACAUACCGAAUUCCUUUUCAUCGUCAGACAUUUCCUAUGUUCAUAGUUGAAACAUUAAUUGAAAAUCGAUCGAAGGAAACUACCAAGAAACUCAACACAAGCACUUGAUAUGCCCUACAUUGUAGCACAAGUCAUGCUAAAAUUCAUGAAAAAAUUCGGCAUGACCUUCGCUAAAGACAUGACAUAUUGAACGCCUAAAAUUUGUCAGGACGGAAACGAAUCAACAUUCCAGCAAAAUAUAGGCCACUCGGAGGCACAUUGCAAACAAGAACACCAAGACAUCCUCUAUAUUCAGAAUGCAUCAUCAUCGACAUCAAUGACAUGGCAAGUACACUAGCAUUUUCAUCAUUGACAUUUACAGCAUGUUAUCAUUUAGCUAUUCUCACCUAGAGGUCUUAAGGGGUCGACUACUGGGAUGAGGCAGGGGCAAAUACUUGAUUUCUGCAUAAACAAAAUAUAUUAACCACUUACUAUAAAUAAACUAAUUCUAUUAAGCACUUACUAUAAAUAAACUAGUUCUAUUAAGCACUUACUAUAAAUAACCUAGUUAGUUAACCUAUAUAAAUAACCUAAUUAAACUAGUUAACCUAGCUAGCCAACCUAGUUAACCUAGCUAGUUUGAAUUUUUACUAAUUUACUAAAAAAUCUACUCUAUGCAAGAAUAGAGUGAGGAGAGAUGAGGGAGGGAGGAGGGAGCAGGGGUGGGGGAGGGAGGAGNNNNNNNNNNNNNNNNNNNNNNNNNNNNNNNNNNNNNNNNNNNNNNNNNNNNNNNNNNNNNNNNNNNNNNNNNNNNNNNNNNNNNNNNNNNNNNNNNNNNNNNNNNNNNNNNNNNNNNNNNNNNNNNNNNNNNNNNNNNNNNNNNNNNNNNNNNNNNNNNNNNNNNNNNNNNNNNNNNNNNNNNNNNNNNNNNNNNNNNNNNNNNNNNNNNNNNNNNNNNNNNNNNNNNNNNNNNNNNNNNNNNNNNNNNNNNNNNNNNNNNNNNNNNNNNNNNNNNNNNNNNNNNNNNNNNNNNNNNNNNNNNNNNNNNNNNNNNNNNNNNNNNNNNNNNNNNNNNNNNNNNNNNNNNNNNNNNNNNNNNNNNNNNNNNNNNNNNNNNNNNNNNNNNNNNNNNNNNNNNNNNNNNNNNNNNNNNNNNNNNNNNNNNNNNNNNNGAGGAGAGAGGAGGAGGGGGAGUAGGGAGGGGUGGGAAGAGGGCUUGGCCGGAGGAGAGGAGGGAGGAGGGCUUGGCCGGAGGACGAGGGAGGAGGGCGGUGGGAGGAGGAGGGAGAGGAGGGAGGAGUGCAUACUGAGGAAGAGGAGGGAGGACAAUGGCGGCAAUGCGGCGGCAGCGGAGGCAGAGUGAGGCAGCGGGAGUGAGGGGGCAAGAAGAAGGUCGGGCGUGGGGGAUAGAACUUGAGAUAAGGCACCCAUAGCAGUAGCGCUGGUAGGUGAAAAGAGCUACUGCUAAGUACAAUAGCAGCAGCGUGCUUUCACAAUACGCGCUACUACUAUACCUAGUCUGGCGGCCACCUCGUACCAACUGUAGCAGUAGUGUCGUUUAGUAGUAAGACCUAAAGCGAGGAGAUAGAAUCGAAAGAAUGAUAGCAAGUUCUUUGAAAGUGGGAAGAAAGCCAAGGAUACAGUGGUGUGUAGGGUCUUUCAAAUCAAUCAGGAAAGUGUGAUCUGAGAAGGAAUACGGCUUUCCCCGCCUUGACAAGUGGAUCUACCAAGAAUAGCUUUUCCAGCCGUUACUUAUUAUAUAAUAGCUCGAUCCAAUCACGCAUGUGAUUGAUUUCUACCCUCUCUUUCGAAAAUCUUCUAUUCGCACAACUGCUACGUGGAUAUCAGUAGCGCGGUUUUUCCUCACGCGCUAGUGCUAAGUAGCAGUAGCGCCUUAUUUUAAAACUCGCUCCUAGUAAGGUUCUAUGUAUAAGGUUUUCCCUAGUAGUGCGUAUCAGCGUCCGCUAGUCGGCUUGGCCCAGCCUGGCCCACUCUUGCCCCACAAAUAUCCCCAUCCGAAAAACCCUAGACAUCGGUCAAUUCGAACUCCACUUCACUCCCUCUCCAUCCACUCCACUUUGGAUCCCCUCCAAUCUGAAUCGAUAGCCGGCGAUGGAAGCAACAGUGGCUCCGGUGUAGAAUCUGAAGGCUCAAGCAUCUAAAGGAAAUAUGCCCUGGAGGCAAUAAUAAAGUUGUUACUUAUAUUUCCUUAUAUCAUAAUAAUUUUUUAUUAUUCAUGCUAGAAUUGUAUUAACCGGAAACUUAGUACAUGUGUGGAUACAUAGACAAACAGAGUGUCCCUAGUAUGCCUCUACUUGACUAGCUCGUUAAUCAAAGAUGGUUAAGUUUCCUAGACAUAGACAUGUGUUGUAAUUUGAUGAACGGGAUCACAUCAUUAGAGAUUGAUGUGAUGGACAAGACCCAUCCGUUAGCUUAGCAUAAUGAUCGUUUAGUUUUUCUGCUAUUGCUUUCUUCAUGACUUAUACAUGUUCCUCAGACUAUGAGAUUAUGCAACUCCCGAAUACCGGAGGAACACCUUGUGUGUUAUCAAAUGUCACAAUGUAACUAGGUGAUUAUAAAGAUGCUCUACAGGUGUCUCCGAUGGUGUUUGUUGAGUUGGCAUAGAUCGAGAUUAGGAUUUGUCACUCCGUGUAUCGGAGAGGUAUCUCUGGGCCCUCUCGGUAAUGCACAUCACUAUGAGCCUUGCAAGCAAAGUGUCUAAUGAGUUAGCCACGGGAUGGUGCAUUACAAAAUGAGUAAAGAGACUUGCCGAUGACGAUAUUGAACUAGGUAUGAUGAUACUGACGAUCGAAUCCGGGAAAGUAACAUACUGAUGACAAAGGGAACAACGUAUGUUGUUGUGCGGUUUGACCGAUAAAGAUCUUCGUAGAAUAUGUAGGAGCCAAUAUGAGCAUCCAGGUUCCGCUAUUAGUUAUUGACCAGAGAUAUGUCUCGGUCAUGUCUACAUAGUUCUCGAACCCGUAGGGUCUGCACGCUUAACGUUCAAUAACGAUUUGUAUUAUGAGUUUUGUGUUUUGAUGAACUGAAGUUUGUUCGGAGUCCUGGAUGAGAUCACGGACAUGAUGAGGAUUCUCAAAAUGGUUGAGACAUAGAUUUAUAUAUUGGAAGGCUAGAUUUAGACACCAGAAUGGUUCGGGUCGUUUCGGAUAAGUUUCGGAGUACCGGGGGUUACCGGAACCCCCCCAGGAGGUUAAUGGGCCACCAUGGGCCUUAGUGGAGAAGAGAGAGGGCCAGCCAAGAGGUGGCGUGCGCCUCCCUCCUUCCUUCUCUCCUCUUCCUCCUUCCCUUCUUCUCCUACUUGGAAUAAGAAAGGGGGGGGGCGAAUCUUACUUGGACCGGGAGUCCAAGUAGGACUCCCCCCAUGGCGCGCCCCCUUGGGCCAGCCACCUCUCCUCCCCCUUUAUAUACAUGGGAGGGAGGCACCCCAAAUACACACCAACUCUUCUCUUAGCCGUGUGCGGUGCCCCCCUCCACAGUUACACACCUCGGUCAUAUCGUCGUAGUGCUUAGGCGAAACCCUGCGCCGGUAACUUCAUCAUCACCGUCAUCACACCGUCGUGCUGAUAGAACUCUCCCUCGUCCUCAACUGGAUCAAGAGAUCAAGGGACGUCAUCAAGCUGAACGUGUGCUGAAUGCGGAGGUGCCGUACGUUCGGUGCUUGGAUCGGUUGGAUCGCGAAGACUUUCGACUACAUCAACCGUGUUAUUAAACGCUUCCGCUUUUGGUCUACGAGGGUACGUGGACACACUCUCCCCUCUCGUUGCUAUGCAUCUCCUAGAGAGAUCUUGCGUGAUCGUACGAUCUUUUUUUGAAAUACUACGUUCCCCAACAGUGGCAUCCGAGCCAGGUCUAUGCAUAGAUGUUAUAUGCACGAGUAGAACACAAAGAGUUGUGGGUGAUAAUAGUCAUACUGCUUACGAGCAACGUCUUACUUUGAUUCGGCGGUAUUGUUGGAUGAAGCAGCCCGGACCGACAUUACAUGACCGCGUUCAUGAGACUGGUUCUACCGAUGUGCUUCGCACAUAGGUGGCUAGCGGGUGUCUGUUUCUCCAGCUUUAGUUGAAUCGAGUUUGACUACGCCCAGUCCUUGUUGAAGGUUAAAACAGCACACUUGACGAAAAAUCAUUGUGGUUUUGAUGCGUAGGUAAGAACGGUUCUUACGAAUAGCCCAUAGCAGCCACGUAAAACUUGCAACAACAAAGUAGAGGACGUCUAACUUGUUUUUGCAGGGCAUGUUGUGAUGUGAUAUGGUCAAGAUGUGAUGAUAUAAAUUGUUGUAUGAGAUGAUCUUGUUUUGUAACAGCUAUCGGCAACUGGUGGGAGCCAUAUGGUUGUUGCUUUGUUGUAUGAAAUGCAAUCGCCAUGUAAUUGAAGGAAGUAUGCCCUAGAGGCAAUAAUAAAGUUGUUAUUUAUAUUUCCUUAUAUCAUGACAAAUGUUUAUUAUUCAUGCUAGAAUUUUAUUAACCGGAAACUUAGUACAUGUGUGAAUACAUAGACAAACAGAGUGUCACUAGUUUGCCUCUAAUUGACUAGCUCGUUGAAUCAAUGAUGGUUAUGUUUCCUAACCAUAGACAUGAGUUGUCAUUUGAUUAACGGGAUCACAUCAUUAGAGAAUGAUGUGAUUGACUUGACCCAUUCCGUUAGCUUAGCACUUGACCGUUUUAGUUUACUGCUAUUGCUUUCUUCAUGACUUAUACAUGUUCCUAUGACUAUGAGAUUAUGCAACUCCCGAUUACCGGAGUAACACUUUGUGUGCUACCAAACGUCACAACGUAAUUGGGUGAUUAUAAAGGUGCUCUACAGGUGUCUUCGAUGGUACUUGUUGAGUUGGCAUAGAUCGAGAUUAGGAUUUUUCACUCUGAUUGUCGGAGAGGUAUCUCUGGGCCCUCUCUGUAAUGCACAUCACUAUUGUAACAUCCCAAAUUUUCAAUUUGGAAUGUUAUACAUAGGUCAUUCAUGCAUAUCAUACUUUAUUGCAUUUUCGUGUUGCGAUCCUCGAAAUUCUAAGCAACUAAAGGACCUACGGGGAGACUUGGGGAUUUCAGUGUUUAUAUUUGAAUUUUCUCAAAUAUCGAAACAAGGAUCACUGUGGUUUUAAUAAUUUUUCUCUCCGAAAAUAUUUCAUAUUAAAAUUAUAUGAGAGGAGAUAAUAUGACUUUUCCAAAAUAAAUGAAAUGUUGGAGGAAAAAUAUUAAAAUCAAUUUAUAUAUUUUAUUUGGAUUUUAUUGCAAUUUUAUUCGAAAUAGGAAAAAAUGCGCAUUUUUCAAAAUUGCAUUAGAGGCGCAAAUAAAUGUUCACUUUGUCCGCUAUAUUUUUAGAGGACGGGGAAAAUUUAUUUUAGGAUUUUUUGGAGUCCGAUUAGUAUUUCUUUUAAUCAUUUUUCUGCGCGUCGACAUAUUUUUAUAAAAAGUUCUAACCUACUCCGGGCCGUAACCGGCCAGGACUCCCCACGCCGGCCCCUUUAUAAGUCGCACCCCACGACCCCGCAGCCCACCCGAGCCCAGCCGCUGCCCCGUGCCCCAAACCCUAACCCUAAGCCGUCGCCGACCGUGCUAGCCGCUGUCGCUGCAUUGCCGCCGUCCCGUUUCAGGAGGUAGCCGCCAGUUUUUUUAAAUGAUCAGUUUUAUUUCAUAAAUCUAGAUCUCGUUUUUUAGAAUCGGUUUUGUUUCGGUUUUUCUCGGUUCGGUUAAAUAGCGUACGUUCGUCCGUACAUUCGUUUUAACGAACGAUGUUGAUCCGUUAGCAGCAGACAGCGAACGUUCGUUCGUUAGCCUUCGUCAGUUUUUCUUUUUCCAGGGUUUUCCGCGAUUAUUUUCGACCGCGACUUCUGCCCUGUUUUUCGUUUUAGUUUAUCUUUUCUCUCGUUUAUCCAAAUCAGGUGAAACAAGCGCCUAGAUCUUCGUCUCGAAGCCCUCUUUCUGUUUAACCAACUUGAAUAAGAUUUUGAUACUGUAAAAUUUGACUUUAGUCCAUAUUAGUAAUCGGAUCUUGUUUCUUUCGUAGUUUGAGUUUCGUUGCUCCGUUUGAUUUGAUUCUUUUUGCAAACCGGAGUUCUUCAGUUGAACUUUCUGGUUAGAUCUUCUUAUUUGAGUUUUAUCCAUGCAUCAUUGCUUGAUUGAUUAUGUAUGCUAUUGUUUGUUUGCGAUAGAACACCCGGAGUGCGAAGCGUGCUACUAUGAGUCUUUAGGAUUUGCAGAUCGUCAGCAAGGCAAGUAACACUUUGAUCAUACCCCUUUAUCACCCAGUCUUUAUGCAUUAGUUUCAACCCUCACAGAUUGCAUGAGUAGGAUCUCUUAACAUGUGGGUCUGGGAAGUAGAUGAUGAGGUAGAACCUAUUACCUGUUUUAUUAUCAAACCCUUGGGAGUUACUUCUACGUUAUGCUUAUAUUGCUAUGCUAUGCUUGUAGACGUGGAUUGGGUUUGAGUGUAUCCAUGACAGAUGUGAGAUGUUAAUUAAUGGUUCAACUUAAGGUGGCAACUUCAAUACACAUCUGGGUAGAUUGCUUGUGGGCACCUGGAGAAUCCAGUGUUGUCCUAGGAUAUCCCGAAGUACCCGUGUGAUCAUCCUACGGUCCGCCACCCAGUCUCAAAGGGAUCAUAAGAUUAUUCAUGCUAGAAACUUCCAUGUGCAUCCACAAGCCAUUACGGGUUCUGGCAUAGUUGAGUGUGUUGUGUGACCUCUUUCAGUGGUGGGCUAGUAGAUGUAGGGGAAAGUAGGUGUAACAGUCCACCCAGAGUAAAGAGUUAAUGCUUUUGAAAGACCGUGUCUCGGUCAUCCGUUUCUCAAACGCCCUGUAGUGCGAGAAAUCCAACGGGGGAGAUCAAGUCUUGUGGGGAAAAGUGCGCAAGCCUCUGCAGAGUGUAUAAACUAAUCAUGGUUAGCCGUGUCCCCGGUUAUGGACAUCUUGAGUAUCUGGUACUUGAAUUAUUGAUUUGAUCUCAUCACUCUAAGAUUAAUUUGUUGGGUUGAUAAUUACUUUUAAUUGGGAUUGAGUUGGAGGAACCUUCUCAAUGUUGUUUCAACUACCAUGAUAGUUAAAUAAAAUAUAUUCCUUUAUUGUAGGGAAAAAUUGGCUUUUCGCAAAAACAUAUUAACCAUAGAGCCUCCAGCAGCCAUAUAUGCAUAUAGUGAUAGCAUUUAUCUGUUCAUUACUAUACUGUGUUACAUUGCCAGCAUAUUCCAUGUGCUGAUCCAUUUUCGGGCUGUAACGUAUCAUGUUGUAGACUCUUCAGACGAUGAGUAAGACGCCGUAGGUCAUUUGUCAUGCACUCAGCUAUGGCGUUGGAGUUGAUGGACUCACUUUAUCUUCCAAGCCUUCCGUUGUUAUCUUAUUUAGAUGGCCUUAAGCCAUAUUUAUUGUAAUAAGUUCUCUUUGGAGACUAUCGCUGUAAUAAGUGUGUGAUUACUACUCUGUUAUAAAUGCUUUGAGUACCGUGUGUGUCAGCAUUACCAAUCCAGGGAUGACACUGAAGCACAGAGACUUGACCGUGUGAGGUUGGGUAACUACAAGAUGGUAUCAGAGCACACGCUGAAUGUAGGACACGACCACUAAGAUGAGCCAUAGGUCACUCUUCUCUACUCAUUUCUGACUCCUCUCCACUUUCUACUCUUUAGGAUGGCGAACUCAAGGAACAAGUUUGCACAACCGGAUGAAGACACACCUUUUGGAUGACACUUGAAGGAAGUCACUAGGUACAUGAACAUCGAAAUACCAAGCUUCACCGGGACCUACACCGCCACUUUACCAGAAGAGGAACGCUGGAUGAUUCGAGUUCAAGUUCCAUGAAGGACAUUUGUGUCGGGGGUUGGGUGCGACAUAUGCCAAAGAAUGGCUUAUCAUGGUGGGAGCGAGUAGAACGUCGCCGGUGCCCGGAAGCGGGAUUAGGCGUAGACACGAACGCCGACAUACUUUACCCAGGUUCGGGGCUCUCCUAGGAGAUAACACCCCUAGUCCUGCUCUGGGGGGUCUCCGCAUGAUCACUAAGGCAAAGUGAGUACAAGGGUGCUCCUCUAGCUGUAUGCUGGAGGUAGGAGAAAGCAAGGCUAUCUUUCUCCUUCCUAUAUCUCUGGUCUAGUUCUAAUGGGUCCCAACCCUUUGCAUGGGUGCCCUGGGAGGUUUAUAUAGGCCUACCCCCCAGGGGUACAAGGGUAAUAUGACUAGGUGCAGGCCCAGCCGUCAGUCUCUUUGGCCGCCGACUUCUCCGCCGACUUCUGGGGCCCGCUGAUCGGGGAGGCCCACCGACUAGGUUGGUAUGGAGCCGACAGGCUGUACCCGCCGCUUGGGGGUCUUGCCGGCUGCUGAUCACUGUAGCCGCGCUUCUAGUGACGCAGGCUUGGUCGAAGGAUCAUGGCUACAGCACCGCCAUCAUGGCGGGCGAUUAUUGUAGCCACUCCCCGUCAUGUCUGGUUAAGGGCGCGUGGGGCCCGUGGGAUGAGCAGGCCGACUCCUAGGGGCCGACUCCCAUCGGGUCCGAUUGGUAGGGCUCUUCGCUGUCCUCUGGACUCUCGCUGAUUGGUGGGGCCCGUUGUCCUUGGGAUGUACAGACAGGCCGUCGUGGGAGCAGGACUCCGCCUGCCUGUAAUGAUGUUAGGGUUGGCAUGGCAACAAUGUCGCACCGGGCGGGGCUCCUCGUUGGUACAAUGCACUGUGGCUGUGCCAGCCCUUAGGUAGGGGAGGGGAUGGGCUGCAUUGUAGCCAUCCCCUGUCCCAUUCCCCUUGAUGUGGGUGCGGGCUUCGAAGGGGCCGCGGGCUGACUCCUCGGAGCCGGCUUUUCUGGAAGCCGCUUGGCAGGAGUCGGCUUGUCUCGACCUCGCCUUCUGGACUCGGCCGUCUACGGGCAACCGGCUAUUUCUCCAGCCGGCUUCCAGAAGCUGGCUCUUUACCUUGGCAUCCUGAGGGGCGCGGUCAGCCCCGAUGUCUCGAAAGGCUAUGGGCGUCGGGUUAGCCUACCCGUGGCCCAUUACUCCGAUAGUAGUCCCCGAAGCUGGUGAGGCGCCGCGGGUGACCAGUCGAGGAGCCUCAGCAGUUUCCUUUCUUCGAGUGCUUGAGGCGAAGCUUCGUUGCCGGGCCGACUUGCAGGAGUCGGACUCGCCCAAUCUGACUUGUCCAAAAUUUUCGAACGCCUUGGCGGGAUCCAAGUGGCGUGCUAGCUAAGCUUCCGGGCCGCCACCCGUUUCGGGCCUGUCACGUGGCGACAAGCAGCCGAGCCAGUCUGCCCACCCACGCGCACGACGGGGCACGCCUAUAGGCGGGGCCCACCACUACCACGCCUUGGCACGCGAGCGGAUCCGCUGUGGCCGGGGUGGACGGUUGAGAUUCCCACGGAGUUACUGCAUGCAGUAACUUUGCGCGAUAAACGUGUGGGCGUGGGGUAGUGGGCGCAGUAAAUCCCACAACCGCCCCCUCGGCUUCGCAGCCCACUGGUCUAUAAGUAGGGGGAGGAGGGGGAGCGGCAGAGCACGCGCGCCCCUCCUCCUCACUGCUUCCUCCUCUUCUUCCUCUCGCCGUCGCGCCCCAAGCUACGCUGAGCGCCACGAUGAUCCGUUCCCGAUGAGCUCUUCUUCCACCGCCACGCCCCCCGCGGUGCACUCCGGCACCUGGGACGGUUCGGAGGUCCACGAUGAUCGCAUAGAUUUCCUCCGCAUGACACGGCGGCUGCCUGGCAAGGACAUCGUGAGGGUUCACCUCGCGCCGAAGAAGGAAAUCUCGCCGGCGCCGAAGGAGGGAGAGCGGGUCAUCUUCCGCUCGCACUGCCUAAGCGGCCUUGGCCUUUCGGCGAGCGGCUUCUUCCGCACCUUUCUCGAAUUCUACGAUCUCCAGCCGCACCACCUCACCCCCAACACGGUGGUGCUGCUGUCCGCCUUCGUUGCCUUGUGCGAAGGCUUCCUCGGCGUUCUCCCCACCAUCGAGCUCUGGGGGGAGUUCUUCUACUCCAAGCUCGGCACCCAAGCCACAGGCAUGCCGGCUCAGUGCGGCGCCUUCAUCACCGUGCGGAAGUCGGGGGCCGACAACCCGUUUCCCCCCAUCCGGCUGAUAAAGUCGGUGAAGAUGUGGCAGUGGUCGUACUUCUACGUGAAGAGCGUCUUCGUGGAGGGCGACUAGGUCAAUCUGCCGGCCUACGUGGCCGGCCCGCCGGCUGGGAGGCAGCCCAACUGGUCGUAUCGGGCCAGGACGCUGACGCCCGUGGGAGCCAGCGCCAUCGUGCGACUCCGAGUGCUGACGCAGUCUGAGGGCCUGACCGGGCCGGAUUUGCUGGCCACCUUCGUGGCGCGCCGAGUGCUCCCACUCCAAAGUCGCCCCCACAUGAUUUGCCAGAUGAGCGGGCAUCAGGACCCGAGUCGUUUGUGCACCAAGGAGAUGCCUCACGCGGAGGUAGCCCACAUGGUGAACUACCUUGCGAACUGCGAGCUCACGGGAGAGUGGUAGUUCGGCAAGGAGCCGUAUUCACGCGCCAACCCUCCGCCCAUGGUGAGUUGUUUCUUUUCCUUUUUCUUUGACUCCUUUGCCGCCGAGACCGUCUUGUCCAAUCUUACCAAUCGGCUUUGGUCAGAACCCCCUCCUCCAUCCGGUAGCCGGCACCAUGGGACCGGCCCGCGAAUUCCUCCCGGACCAGGCGGAGAGCGGCGUCGACGACCCCGACUUAGGGGCGGCGGCCUUGGAGGACGACGUCGAGGGAGGAAGCGGUGAAGUGGGCGGCCCAAGGCUCGGGGCCAGUUUCGAGGACUGGCCUGACAAUGACGCGGAGGAGGUCACCCCACGCCACCAGCCAGGAGCCGGCCAGCCCGGCGCGAGCUCUUCUGCCACGCCGGAUGCCCAAGGCGGCGCAAAGAAGCGCAUGGCUGCACCGAGCAUGUUCGGCAGCCGGCCGAAGAAGCCCAAGGGCUCACCAAGCGGGACGAGGCGGCAGCAAAGGCCCACCGCUUCCGCAAGGAAGUGAAGAAGCCAUUGCUGGUCUCCGCGUAAGUGCUACCUUUCUUGCGCUUUCAUUUUUUCUUUCGUUGAUCUUGUCUGAGUUUGCUUGCUUGUGGCCCUUGGGUCCAGGGCUCCCCUCUCUCUUGACAAGGUCGCUGCCGCCUCCAUCAUGGGGUCGGCGGAGACUUCCGCCACCACUCGGUGGAUUGACCCUGCCGUCGACUUCCGGGAGGCGACAGAGCGGAACGCACGAGAGGUGUGUGAAGAGCAGGAAGCCGCCCGCCUGAAGAAGGCGGAGGCUGAGAAGGCGGAGGCCACCGCGAAGAAGAGACUGGUGGAGGCCGAGGUCGCCGACGCGGUGAAGAAGCGAGCUGAGGAAGCCGCGCACCGCCAGUCGGUGGUUUUUGUUAUUCCUCUAAACUCCGCGCCGCCACCCCCGGAGUUCACGACGCGGACUGGGGAGGCCGGCGGCGAGAACCCGGUCAUGGAGAGGGAUAGCGGCGACACCACCAUGCCAAACGUGAUCGUGCCGCCGCCGCCAUCUGGGAGCGCACAAGGCGAGCAGCCGGCGGACCCGCCGGUGCCACCCACUGAAGACGAGGUGGUGGAGGGCCUAGUUCUCCAAGUCGGCACGCCGACGUGUCGCUGUCUCGCGAAGGCGGCUUCGGCGCCGCGCCCUAUAGAGACCGGCGCCGCGAGCUCCAUGAUCCCGGACACCGAAGCGUCGAGCGCCGCGCCCACUGGGUGGGGGCGGGGAGGCGGGACAGACCCAUUGAACCAGGCGCUUCUGGACGUCCAAGCCAAGAUCCGAGCCGAGGGCGAUGCCAUCAAGAACUGCACCAAGGUGUAUCUGGCAUCGCGAGAAGCCAUCCGGGUACGUUCCCUUCUUCUUUGUCUCUGUUUUUUGUUCUUCUUGGUGGGGCGCGCCAGCGCACCCACUAGGUGUAGUCCCCGAUUUUCGGGCCGGCUGCUGAGCAGGUGGCUCGGAACUCUGAUCAGCGAGUUCCAAGUACUAACACUUGUCUGAAAUUUUGUCACUGGACUACCACAAUCUUCGCGUGACCACCUUCAACGCCAACAUUGAGGAGCUGGCCAAGCGGACCGCCGACUUGUUGGAAAGCCGGAGUGAGUCCUCUUCCUUCUCUGCGGGGGCGCGCUGGCGCACCUGCGGGUUGUAGUCCCCGAGAUUCGGGUCGACUGCCGAGCAGUCAAGCCAGAUCUCCCUGGCGACUAUUCUUUUUCUGUUGGUGACUCUUUCUUCACGGGGGAACGCUGGCGUGCCCGCGGGCUAUAGUCUUCACGAUUCGGGCCGACUGCUGAGCAGUCGGGCUGGAUCUCCUCGGCGACUUUUCUUCCUUGUUGGUAACUAACAUCUUGUUCUCCUCUUUCUUCUGCAGAGGCUAACGCCGCCCUGCAGCAGUAGCUGGGCGAGGCCAACACUGCCCUGCGCACCAAGGAGGAGGAGUGCAUCCAGCUGGCUAAGGAGUGCGACUGGCUGGUCACGCAACUGGCGGAGCAGAAGGGGCUGCUCAAGAAGGCCCAGAAAGAGGCGGAGGACAAGGAGACCGCCCUCCUUGCUGAAUUCGCGUCCGAGCGCUCCUCCUGGACCGACAAGGAGGCGAUGCUGUCCUCCGGCUUCCAUGAGAUCGAGGAUCUCGUCGACGGUGAGCCUCUCCUCACUUUUCUUCUUUGAGCUGCCGGCUAUUGGUCGAGCCGGCUUCUAAUCUCUAAUCUGGCUCUUUGCCUUCCUUUCCUGGCAGACUUCUUCCCUGGCCACUCGGAUGCCGCCAACCAGGCCAUCGAGGCUUAUCGUGAAGGGCGGAGGGCGGAUGGCGUGAAUAUCGCCGCUGACUCCCCCCGAACCCUUAAUGCAUAGAUCCUGAGCAUUGAGGCUCGUCUUCGGCCGGCUCACCGGAUGCUGCGCCGGCUUCAACGUGUCGGCGCCCAGGCGAUCACCGCCCUAUGGCUGGACAUGCAGGCACCACACACCCCAAGUCGGACCGCCGACUGGCUGGAGGUAGCAGCUGGCCGUCUUAAGGCCUGGAAGGGCUCUACGGCCCGGGAUGGAGUGCGCCAGGCCUUAGAGUUCGUCAAGGCGUGGUAUCCUGGGCCGAGUCUAGCCCAGCUAGCCACGUUCCGGCUAGAAGCUCAGGCGGAGUUGGCAGUCGUGGAAGAUGACCUCGUCAAGCGCGCGGCGUCGAUCGCCGAGUACACCGACACCAGUGUCUUCAUCCCGGAGCGGGCUGAGAAUGACAACAAGGCGUCGCCGGAAUGGUUCGGGAUGAAUCCGGCUGACGGCAAGGAUUCAGCGGAGGUGAUCGACUCCAGUGGCGAGGAAGAAUGCGGGGUGGAGGAGGAAGGCGAAGGGGAGGCACCGGAGGUCGGAGCGGACGACCAGCCUCAGCUCGACCGUGCCUCCAACAAUGAGCCACGCCCAACCGAGCCGGCUACCACUGGAGGCGACCAAGCGGAGACUUCCCAGCCGGCGCCGCCGAUUCCGCCGUUCCACCAAGCCCGCCUGCUACUUCCUAGGCUGCCACUUUACCUUUGUUUAUACCUGCUUAUCGGUCUCGAUGAACUUUGUUAAUUUUGCACAAUUCCACCUACGGGGUGUAUCUUGAACUGAUGUUUGAAGAUUGGCCAAAUGCCUUUGCUAUGUAAAUACAUUCCGAGUUCUAUCUCUUCUUGCAUGUUGCUCUCUGGCUUUUUUCCUUUGCCGCCUUCCCUUGGUUGCCGUCUUGCAGACUGUUGCUGGAUCAAGUACUUAGCUUCUUUGGGGAAGGUAAGUACUUAGCCGUUUAGAGUUCUUUGGCAAGUUAAGUAGAACAUGGCGAGCCGGCUGCUCAACAGUCAGUCGUAAGAGGCGGGAAGCCGGCUUAAACUAUGCCCAUGCUUGUGUCCUUAGCCAUUUUUCAUAUGGGCACCCUUUCUACCUUACUCCUACCCACUGUCCAGUCGCUCCGCGAGCUGCGGCUUCUGGCAGGAGACGGCUUAGGUGCCACACAUUACUUGUCCGGCUGCAGGAAGCAUUUUGUAGUGCAAGGUGGCAAGUCCCCGGACCGACUAGUCGGACCCGGUGCCAAGUGGCAUAAAAAAUAACAUACUUAUGGGCAUAACUCUUAUCAUAUAUAUAAAAGAGGGCAGUCCCCGAGCUCGUCGCGGGGGACCCGGAGUCUUCGUACUUAAUACAAAAGGUAGCGUGGUAUAUACUGCUUUAACUGUAAAAUCUUCGGACGAGGUUUGCGUUCCACGGCCGUUCCGUCCCCUUGCCGGAGUCGUCCCUCUUGCGUGCUCGAGGCUUCUGAGCAUCGAUCAGGUAGUAGGAGUCGCUGCCUAGCACUUUGCUGAUGACGAAGGGGCCUUCCCAAGGCGCUGAGAGCUUGUGCUGACCGGUUGUUCGCUGGAUCAGCCGGAGCACAAGGUCUCCCUCUUGGAAAGAUCUCGGCUUGACCUUCCGGUUAUAAUAUCGGCGCAAGCUCUGCUGGUAGAUGCUAGACCGACUGAGUGCUAACAGCCGGCCCUUUUCCAGCAGAUCGACGCCGUCUUGACGUGCUUCUUCUGCCUCCUCUUCGGUGUACAUGGUGACUCGAGGGGAGUCGAACUCUAUGUCCGUUGGGAUGAUGGCUUCGGCAUCGUAGACGAGGAAGAAGGGCGUGAAGCCGGUUGACUUGUUUGGAGUUGUGCGCAGGCUCCAGAGGACCGCCGGCAGCUCGUCGAGCCAACAGCCGGCCGAACGCACCAGAGGCUCGACCAGUCGAGGCUUGAUGCCGGACAAGAUGAGGCUGUUUGCUCGCUCUACUUGUCCGUUUGACCGCGGAUGGGCAACGGACGCUAAGCCCAGUCUGAUGCCCUGCGUCGCGCAGACACGGGCCAAGGCGCCUUUGGCAAAGUUUGUGCCAUUGUUGGUGAUGAUGCUGUGCGGUAUGUCGUAUCUGAUGGUGAUGUCGGAGAUGAAAGUCACAGUCGGACCAUUCAGCUUCUUGAUUGGUUUGGCCUCUAUCCACUUGGUGAACUUGUCCACCGCGACAAGCAGAUGGGUCAUGCCGCCUCGCGCUGUUUUGAAUGGUCCCACCAUGUCCAGGCCCCAGACAGCAAAGGGCCAGGCAAUGGGAAUAGUCUUGAGCGCAGAAGCCGGCUGAUGUGGCUUGGAACGAAACUUCUGGCACCCUUUGCAUUUUUGGACCAAUUCCUUGGCAUCUUCAAGAGCAGUUGGCCAGAAGAAACCAUGGCGGAAGGCUUUGGCGAAGAGUGCUCUUGAAGCCGUGUGGUGGUCACACUCGCCUUGAUGGAUGUCUUUGAGAAUGGCUUGGCCUUGCUCCGACUCCAUGCAGCGCUGGUAGACACCAGUGACACUGCACCUCACGAGCUCUCUGUUGACAAUGGUGUAGGCUGCUGUCCGAUGUUGCCCUUGUCGGGAUGAGAUCUCAUCAGUUGGUAGCUCUUUGUUCACAAAAAAAUUGAGGAUGGGCUGGGCCCAUGAAGGUGCCGCGACUUCUACUGAAGGAAAUAUUCCCUAGAGGCAAUAAUAAAGUUAUUAUUUAUUUCCUUAUAUCAUGAUAAAUGUUUAUUAUUCAUGCUAGAAAUUGUAUUAACCGGAAACAUAAUACAUGUGUGAAUACAUAGACAAACAGAGUGUCACUAGUAUGCCUCUACUUGACUAGCUCAUUAAUCAAAGAUGGUUAUGUUUCCUAACCAUGGACAAAGAGUUGUUAUUUGAUUAACGGGAUCACAUCAUUAGGUGAAUGAUCUGAUUGACAUGACCCAUUCCAUUAGCUUAGCACCCGAUCGUUUAGUAUGUUGCUAUUGCUUUCUUCAUGACUUAUACAUGUUCCUAUGACUAUGAGAUUAUGCAACUCCCGUUUGCCGGAGGGGCACUUUGUGUGCUACCAAACGUCACAACGUAACUGGGUGAUUAUAAAGGUGCUCUACAGGUGUCUCCAAAGGUACAUGUUGGGUUGGCGUAUUUCGAGAUUAGGAUUUGUCACUUCGAUUGUCGGAGAGGUAUCUCUGGGCCCUCUCGGUAAUGCACAUCACAUAAGCCUUGCAAGCAUUGCAACUAAUGAUUUAGUUGUGAGAUGAUGUAUUACGGAACGAGUAAAGAGACUUGCCGGUAACGAGAUUGAACUAGGUAUUGAGAUACCGACGAUCGAAUCUCGGGCAAGUAACAUACCGAUGACAAAGGGAACAACGUAUGUUGUUAUGCGGUCUGACCGAUAAAAGAUCUUCGUAGAAUAUGUAGGAGCCAAUAUGAGCAUCCAGGUUCCGUUAUUGGUUAUUGACCGGAGACGUGUCUCGGUCAUGUCUACGUUGUUCUCGAACCCGUAGAGUCUGCACGCUUAAGGUUUCGAUGACAGUUAUAUUAUGAGUUUAUGCAUUUUGAUGUACCGAAGUUUGUUCGGAGUCCCGGAUGUGAUCACAGACAUGACGAGGAGUCUCGAAAUGGUCGAGACAUAAAGAUUGAUAUAUUGGAAGCCUAUAUUUGGAUAUCGGAAGUGUUCCGGGUGAAAUCGGGAUUUUACCGGAGUACCGGGAGGUUACCGGAACCCCCCGGGAGGUAUAUGGGCCUUAGUGGGCUUUAGUGGAAGAGAGGAGAGGUGGCCAGGGCUGGGCCGGCGCCCCUCCCCCCCUAGUCCGAAUAGGACAAGGAGAGGGGGCCAGCGCCCGCCUUCCUUCUCUCUCUCCUCUUCCCCCUCCCGAAUCCUAUUCCAACUAGGAAAGGGGGGGGGGAAUCCUACUCCCGGAGGGAGCAGGACUCCUCCUGGCGCGCCCUCUCCUGGCCGGCCGCACCCCCCUUUGAUCCUUUAUAUACGGAGGCAGGGAGCACCCCUAGACACACAAGUUGAUCCACGUGAUCAUAUUCUUAGCCGUGUGCGGUGCCCCCUUCCACCAUAGUCCUCGAUAAUAUUGUAGCGGUGCUUAGGCGAAGCCCUGCGACGGUAGUACAUCAAGAUCGUCACCACGCCGUCGUGCUGACGGAACUCUUCCCCGGCACUUUGCUGGAUCGGAGUCCGGGGAUCGUCAUCGAGCUGAACAUGUGCUAGAACUCGGAGGUGCCGUAGUUUUGGUGCUUGAUCGGUCGGGCCGUGAAGACGUACGACUACACCAACCACGUUGUGAUAACGCUUCCGUUGUCGAUCUACAAGGGUACGUAGAUCGUACUCUCCCCUCUCGUUGCUAUGCAUCACCAUGAUCUUGCGUGUGCGUAGGAAAAUAUUUGAAAUUACUACGUUCCCCAAUAGUGGCAUCCGAGCCUAGGUUUUAUAUGUUGGUGUUAUAUGCACGAGUAGAAUACAAGUGAGUUGUGGGCGAUAUAAGUCAUACUUCUUACCAGCAUGUCAUACUUUGGUUCGGCGGUAUUGUUGGACGAAGCGGCCCGGACCGACAUUACGCGUACGCUUACGCGAGACCGGUUCUCCCGACGUGCUUUGCACAAAGGUGGCUAGCGGGUGACAGUUUCUCCAACUUUAGUUGAACCGAGUGUGGCUACGCCCGGUCCUUGCGAAGGUUAAAACAGCACCAACUUGACAAACUAUCGUUGUGGUUUUGAUGCGUAGGUAAGAUUGGUUCUCGCUUAAGCCCGUAGCAGCCACGUAAAACUUGCAACAACAAAGUAUAGGACAUCUAACUUGUUUUUGCAGGGCAUGUUGUGAUGUGAUAUGGUCAAGACAUGAUGCUAAAUUUUAUUGUAUGAGAUGAUCAUGUUUUGUAACCGAGUUAUCGGCAACUGGCAGGAGCCAUAUGGUUGUCGCUUUAUUGUAUGCAAUGCAAUCGCGUUGUAAUGCUUUACUUUAUCACUAAGCGGUAGCGAUAGUCGUGGAAGCAUAAGAUUGGCGAGACGACAAUGAUGCUACGAUGGAGAUCAAGGUGUCGCGCCGGUGACGAUGGUGAUCACGACGGUGCUUCGAAGAUGGAGAUCACAAGCACAAGAUGAUGAUGGCCAUAUCAUAUCACUUAUAUUGAUUGCAUGUGAUGUUUAUCUUUUAUGCAUCUUAUCUUGCUUUGAUUGACGGUAGCAUUAUAAGAUGAUCUCUCACUAAUUAUCAAGAAGUGUUCUCCCUGAGUAUGCACGGAUGCGAAAGUUCUUCGUGCUGAGACACCACGUGAUGAUCGGGUGUGAUAGGCUCUACGUUCAAAUACAACGGGUGCAAAACAGUUGCACACGCGGAAUACUCAGGUUAUACUUGACGAGCCAAUCAUAUACAGAUAUGGCCUUGGAACACGGAGACCGAAAGGUCGAGCGUGAAUCAUAUAGUAGAUAUGAUCAACAUAGCAAUGUUCACCAAUGAAACUACUCCAUCUCACGUGAUGAUCGGACAUGGUUUAGUUGAUUUGGAUCAAGUAAUCACUUAGAGGAUUAGAGGGAUGUCUAUCUAAGUGGGAGUUCUUUAAGUAAUAUGAUUAAUUGAACCUAAAUUUAUCAUGAACUUAGUACCUGAUAGUAUCUUGCUUAUUCAUGUUUGAUUGUAGAUAGAUGGCCCGUGCUGUUGUUCCGUUUAAUUUUAAUGCAUUCCUUGAGAAAGCAAAGUUGAAAGAUGAUGGUAGCAAUUACACGGACUGGGUCUGUAACUUGAGGAUUAUCCUCAUUGCUGCACAGAAGAAUUACGUCCUGGAAGCACCGCUGGGUGCCAGGCCUGCUGCUGGAGCAACACCAGAUGUUAUGAACGUCUGGCAGAGCAAAGCUGAUGACUACUCGAUAGUUCAGUGUGCCAUGCUUUACGGCUUAGAAUCGGGACUUCAACGACGUUUUGAACGUCAUGGAGCAUAUGAGAUGUUCCAGGAGUUGAAGUUAAUAUUUCAAGCAAAUGCCCGGAUUGAGAGAUAUGAAGUCUCCAAUAAGUUCUGUAGCUGCAAGAUGGAGGAGAACAGUUCUGUCAGUGAGCAUAUACUCAAAAUGUCUGGGUAUAAUAAUCACUUGAUUCAAUUGGGAGUUAAUCUUCCAGAUGAUUGCGUCAUUGACAGAAUUCUCCAAUCACCGCCACCAAGCUACAAGAGCUUCGUGAUGAACUAUAAUAUGCAAGGGAUGAAUAAGACUAUUCCCGAGCUCUUCGCAAUGCUGAAAGCCGCGGAGGUAGAAAUCAAGAAGGAGCAUCAAGUGUUGAUGGUCAACAAGACCACUAGUUUCAAGAAAAAGGGCAAAGGGAAGAAGAAGGGGAACUUCAAAAAGAACAGCAAGCAAGUUGCUGCUCAAGAGAAGAAACCCAAACCUGGACCUAAGCCUGAAACUAAGUGCUUCUACUGCAAGCAGACUGGUCACUGGAAGCAGAACUGCCUCAAGUAUUUGGCGGAUAAGAAGGAUGCAAGGUGAACAAAGGUAUAUGUGAUAUACAUGUUAUUGAUGUGUACCUUACUAAUGCUCGCAGUAGCACCUGGGUAUUUGAUACCGGUUCUGUUGCUAAUAUUUGCAACUCGAAACAAGGACUACGGAUUAAGCGAAGAUUGGCUAAGGAUGAGGUGACGAUGCGCGUGGGAAAUGGUUCCAAAGUCAAUGUGAUCGCAGUCGGCACGCUACCUCUACAUCUACCUUCGGGAUUAAUAUUAGACCUAAAUAAUUGUUAUUUGGUGCCAGCGUUAAGCAUGAACAUUAUAUCUGGAUCUUGUUUGAUGCGAGACAGUUAUUCAUUUAAAUGAGAGAAUAAUGGUUGUUCUAUUUACAUGAGUAAUAUCUUUUAUGGUCAUGCACCCUUAAGGAGUGGUCUAUUCUUAUUAAAUCUCGAUAGUAGUGACACAUAUUCAUAGUGUUGAAGCCAAAAGAUGCAGAGUUGAUAAUGAUAGUGCAACUUAUUUGUGGCACUCGUUUGGGUCAUAUCGGUAUAAAGCGCAUGAAGAAACUCCAUACUGAUGGGCUUUUGGAACCACUUGAUUAUGAAUCACUUGGUACUUGCGAACCGUGCCUUAUGGGUAAGAUGACAAAGACACCGUUCUCUGGUACUAUGGAGAGAGCAACAGAUUUGUUAGAAAUCAUACAUACAGAUGUAUGUGGUCCGAUGAAUGUUGAGGCUCGUGGCGGAUAUCGUUAUUUUCUCACCUUCACAGAUGACUUAAGCAGAUAUGGGUAUAUCUACUUAAUGAAACACAAGUCUGAAACAUUUGAAAAGUUCAAAGAAUUUCAGAGUGAAGUUGAAAAUCAUCGUAACAAGAAAAUAAAAUUCCUACAAUCUGAUCGUGGAGGAGAAUAUUUGAGUUACGAGUUUGGUGUACAUUUGAAACAAUGUGGAAUAGUUUCGCAACUCACGCCACCCGGAACACCACAGCGUAAUGGUGUGUCCGAACGUCGUAAUUGUACUUUACUAGAUAUGAUACGAUCUAUGAUGUCUCUUACUGAUUUACCGCUAUCAUUUUGGGGAUACGCUCUAGAGAUGGCCGCAUUCACGUUAAAUAGGGCACCAUCAAAAAUCCGUUGAGACGACGCCUUAUGAACUGUGGUUUGGCAAGAAACCAAAGUUGUCAUUUCUGAAAGUUUGGGGCUGCGAUGCUUAUGUGAAAAGGCUUCAACCUGAUAAGCUCGAACCCAAAUCGGAUAAAUGUGUCUUCAUAGGAUAUCCAAAGGAAACUAUUGGAUACACCUUCUAUCACAGAUCCGAAGGCAAGACUUUUGUUGCUAAAUUCGGAAACUUUCUAGAGAAGGAGUUUCUCUUGAAAGAAGUGAGUGGGAGGAAAGUAGAACUUGAGGAGGUAACUGUACCUACUCCCUUAUUGGAAAGUAGUACAUCACAGAAACCUGUUUCUGUGACACCUACACCAAUUAGUGAGGAAGCUAAUGAUGAUGAUCAUGAAACUUCAGAAGAAGAUACUAUUGAACCUCGUAGAUCAACCAGAGUGAGAUCUGCACCAGAGUGGUACGGUAACCCUGUUCUGGAAGUCAUGCUACUAGAUCAUGAUGAACCUACGAACUAUGAAGAAGCGAUGGUGAGCCCAGAUUCCGCAAAAUGGCUUGAAGCCAUGAAAUCUGAGAUGGGAUCCAUGUAUGAGAACUAAGUAUGGACUUUGGUUGACUUGCCCACUAAUCGUCAAGCAAUUGAGAAUAAAUGGAUCUUCAAGAAGAAGACUGACGCUGACGGUAAUAUUACUGUCUACAAAGCUUGACUUGUCGCAAAAGGUUUUUGGCAAGUUCAAGGGAUUGACUACGAUGAGACCUUCUCAACCGUAGCGAUGCUUAAGUCUGUCCGAAUCAUGUUAGCAAUUGCCGCAUUUUAUGAUUAUGAAAUUUGGCAGAUGGAUGUCAAAACUGCAUUCCUGAAUGGAUUUCUGGAAGAAGAGUUGUAUAUGAUGCAACCAGAAGGUUUUGUCGAUCCAAAGGGAGCUAACAAAGUGUGCAAGCUCCAGCGAUCCAUUUAUGGACUGGUGCAAGCCUCUCGGAGUUGGAAUAAACGCUUUGAUAGUGUGAUCAAAGCAUUUGGUUUUAUACAGACUUUUGGAGAAGCCUGUAUUUACAAGAAAGUGAGUGGGAGCUCUGUAGCAUUUCUGAUAUUAUAUGUGGAUGACAUAUUACUAAUUGGAAAUGAUAUAGAAUUUCUGGAUAGCAUAAAGGGAUACUUGAAUAAGAGUUUUUCAAUGAAAGACCUCGGUGAAGCUGCUUACAUAUUAGGCAUUAAGAUCUAUAGAGAUAGAUCAAGACGCUUAAUCGGACUUUCACAAAGCACAUACCUUGACAAAGUUUUGAAGAAGUUCAAAAUGGAUCAAGCAAAGAAAGGGUUCUUGCCUGUGUUACUAGGUGUGAAGUUGAGUCAGACUCAAUGCCCGACCACUGCAGAAGAUAGAGAGAAAAUGAAAGAUGUUCCCUAUGCUUCAGCCAUAGGCUCUAUCAUGUAUGCAAUGCUGUGUACCAGACUUGAUGUGUGCCUUGCUAUAAGUCUAGCAGGGAGGUACCAAAGUAAUCCAGGAGUGGAUCACUGGACAGCGGUCAAGAACAUCCUGAAAUACCUGAAAAGGACUAAGGAUAUGUUUCUCGUUUAUGGAGGUGACAAAGAGCUAAUCAUAAAUGGUUACGUCGAUGCAAGCUUUGACACUGAUCCGGACAAUUCUAAAUCGCAAACCAGAUACGUGUUUACAUUAAAUGGUGGAGCUGUCAGUUGGUGCAGUUCUAAACAAAGCGUUGUGGCGGGUUCUACGUGUGAAGCGGAAUACAUAGCUGCUUCAGAAGCAGCAAAUGGAGGAGUCUGGAUGAAGGAGUUCAUAUCCGAUCUAGGUGUCAUACCUAGUGCAUCGGGUCCAAUGAAAAUAUUUUGUGACAAUAUUGGUGUAAUUGUCUUGGCAAAGGAAUCCAGAUUUCACAAGAGAACCAAGCACAUCAAGAGACGCUUCAAUUCCAUCCGAGAUCUAGUCCAGGUGGGAGACAUAGAGAUUUGCAAGAUACAUACGGAUCUGAAUGUAGCAGACCCAUUGACUAAGCCUCUUCCAUGAGCAAAACAUGAUCAGCACCAAGGCUCCAUGGGUGUUAGAAUCAUUACUGUGUAAUCUAGAUUAUUGACUCUAGUGCAAGUGGGAGACUGAAGGAAAUAUGCCCUAGAGGCAAUAAUAAAGUUAUUAUUUAUUUCCUUAUAUCAUGAUAAAUGUUUAUUAUUCAUGCUAGAAAUUAUAUUAACCGGAAACAUAAUACAUGUGUGAAUACAUAGACAAACAGAGUGUCACUAGUAUGCCUCUACUUGACUAGCUCAUUAAUCAAAGAUGGUUAUGUUUCCUAACCAUGGACAAAGAGUUGUUAUUUGAUUAACGGGAUCACAUCAUUAGGUGAAUGAUCUGAUUGACAUGACCCAUUCCAUUAGCUUAGCACCUGAUCAUUUAGUAUGUUGCUAUUGCUUUCUUCAUGACUUAUACAUGUUCCUGUGACUAUGAGAUUAUGCAACUCCCGUUUGCCGGAGGAGCACUUUGUGUGCUACCAAACGUCACAACGUAACUGGGUGAUUAUAAAGGUGCUCUACAGGUGUCUCCAAAGGUACAUGUUGGGUUGGCGUAUUUCGAGAUUAGGAUUUGUCACUCCGAUUGUCGGAGAGGUUUCUCUGGGCCCUCUCGGUAAUGCACAUCACAUAAGCCUUGCAAGCAUUGCAACUAAUGAGUUAGUUGUGAGAUGAUGUAUUACGGAACGAGUAAAGAGACUUGCCGGUAACGAGAUUGAACUAGGUAUUGAGAUACCGACGAUCGAAUCUCGGGCAAGUAACAUACCGAUGACAAAGGGAACAACGUAUGUUGUUAUGCGGUCUGACCGAUAAAAGAUCUUCGUAGAAUAUGUAGGAGCCAAUAUGAGCAUCCAGGUUCCGCUAUUGGUUAUUGACCGGAGACGUGUCUCGAUCAUGUCUACAUUGUUCUCGAACCCGUAGGGUCCGCACGCUUAAGGUUUCGAUGACAGUUAUAUUAUGAGUUUAUGCAUUUUGAUGUACCGAAGUUUGUUCGGAGUCCCAGAUGUUAUCACGGACAUGAUGAGGAGUCUCGAAAUGGUCGAGACAUAAAGAUUGAUAUAUUGGAAGCCUAUAUUUGGAUAUCGGAAGUGUUCCGGGUGAAAUCGGGAUUUUAUCGGAGUACCGGGAGGUUAACGGAACCCCCCGGGAGGUAUAUGGGCCUUAGUGGGCUUUAGUGGAAGAGAGGAGAGGUGGCCAGGGCUGGGCCGCGCGCCCCUCCCCCCUAGGCCGAAUAGGACAAGGAGAGGGGGCCGGCGCCCCCUUCCUUCUCUCUCUCUCCUCUUUCCCCCCUCCCGAAUCCUAUUCCAACUAGGAAGGGGGGGGGGAGAAUCCUACUCCCGGAGGGAGUAGGACUCCUCCUGGCGCGCCCUCUCCUGGCCGGCCGCACCCCCCUUUGAUCCUUUAUAUACGGAGGCAGGGAGCACCCCUAGACACACAAGUUGAUCCACGUGAUCAUAUUCUUAGCCGUGUGCGGUGCCCCCUUCCACCAUAGUCCUCGAUAAUAUUGUAGCGGUGCUUAGGCGAAGCCCUGCGAUGGUAGUACAUCAAGAUCGUCACCACACCGUCGUGCUGACAGAACUCUUCCUCGACACUUUGCUGGAUCGGAGUCCGGGGAUCGUCAUCGAGCUGAACAUGUGCUAGAACUCGGAGGUGUCGUAGUUUCGGUGCUUGAUCGGCCGGGCCGUGAAGACGUACGACUACAUCAACCACGUUGUGAUAACACUUCCGUUGUCGAUCUACAAGGGUAUGUAGAUCGCACUCUCCCCUCUCGUUGCUAUGCAUCACCAUGAUCUUGCGUGUGCGUAGGAAAAUAUUUGAAAUUACUACGUUCCCCAACAUCUACAACUAUCAAGACUGUAACUUGGACAAGGGCGGCUGGGCCGGGAGGCGGCGGGUUGGAGUCGGCAGCCGCUUGCUGUGUCGAUGAAGUCCCCGGGCUGAUUGGUGCAGUCCUCGGGCCGAGUUAUGAAGUCCUCGGGCUAGUCGCUGCAGUCCCCGGGCCAGGUUCUGAAGUCCCCGGGCCGGGUGGGACUGCUGCGACCCUCGGGCUGUCCGUCAGAACUCCCGUGCUAGCUGAUUGAGCUCUCAAGUUGGAUCCGACUGCUUCAGGAGGAGCCGACACGAAGAUAGAAUCUGACUCUGGUGAUGGCUUGACAGACGGUUUGAGAAGGCGCUGAAGGGCGACGCCGGUUGGUAUUGCUUGACGGGUGGAGCCGAUUCAUGCCAGGGCGUCUGCUUGGUCGUUGUUGUUUCUUCGCACAUGGAGAAACUCGCAUCCCUCAAAAUAUCCACUGAGUUGUUGUACAAGGAAGCGAUAGCUCACCAUGUUUGCAUCUUUGGUGUCCCAAUCGCCUGACGACUGCUGGACCACCAAGUUGGAGUCCCCAUAGCACAUGAUCCGGCGAAUGCCGAGCUCUUUGGCAAGCCAUAGCCCGUGAAUGAGUGCCUCAUAUUCGGCGACGUUGUUGGAGGCGGCAAAGUGGAUUUGUAGCACAUAUUUGAGCUUGUCGCCUUUGGGAGAGGUGAGGACGAUGCCGGCUCCCAAGCCGGUGCGCAUUUUGGAGCCGUCAAAAUGCAUCCGCCAAUGGGUGGAGUCGGGCGCUGGCGGCAAGUACUGGGUCUCGGCCCAGUCGACGAGGAAGUCGGCCAACGCUUGUGACUUGAUGGCGGUGCGAGGCUGGUAGUAGAUGGUGUAGGGGGCCAGAUCUAUGGCCCAUUUGGCCACUCGGCCCGAAGCAUCUCAGCUUCCAAUGAUCUUGGCCAGUGGAGCUGUGCAGACCACAGUGAUUGGAUGCUCUUGAAAGUACGGUUUCAAUUUUUUGGCGGCAAAGUGCACGCCGUAGCACAUCUUCUGGUAGUGGGGGUAGUUUUGCUUGGAGGUCGACAGUACUUCACUCAAAUAAUAUACCGAUCUCUGGACUGGUAGGGCUUUGCCUUCCUCCUUGCGCUCUACCACGAUGACUAUGCUGACCACUCGGCUGGUUGCGGCGAUGUAUAGGAGCAUGGGCUCCUUAGGAGUCAGAGCUGCCAGGAUAGGUGGAGUAGUCAACAUCUUCUUCAACUGGAGGAAAGCUUCGUGAGCCUUGUGGUUCCACUCGAAAAAAGUGGUCUUCUUCAUGAGUUGGUAUAGGGGGAGAGCCUCCUCGCCCAGCCGACUGAUGAAUCGGCUGAUGGAUGCCAAACAGCCGGUGAACUUCUGUACGUCCAGCAGUUGGCUGGGUACUUCCAUCGUCUCAAUGGCCUUGACUUCACAGGGUUGCAUUCUAUGCCGCGUUCGGAGACCAGGAAGCCAAGAAGCUGGCCGGCUGGUACUCCGAAGACGCAUUUCUCUGGGUUGAGCUUGAUUUGAAAUCAGCGCAAGUUCUCAAAGGUCUCCUUGAGGUCUUCUAGAAGCAUUCCACGCUUCUCCGUCUUCACCACCACAUCGUCCACGUAAACGUGGGCGUUUCUGCUGAGUUGCUUGAGGAGGCACUUCUGCAGGCAACAUUGAAAGGUGGCACCGGCAUUCCUCAAGCCGAACGUCAUAGUCAAGUAGCAGAAGGCUCCAAAUGGCGUGAUGAAGGCGGUCUUCAGUCUGUCAACUGGGUUCAACUUGAUCUGGUGGUAUCCUGAAUAUGCAUCCAAAAAACUCAAUAGCUCGCAUCCGGCUGUGGAGUCUAUUACUUGGUCGAUUCUUGGUAAAGCAAAUGGGUCCUUGGGGCAUGCUUUGUUGAGGCCGGUGUAAUCAAUACACAUAUGCCACUGCUUGUUCUUCUUCAGCACAAGGACCAGGUUGGCCAACCACUCUGGAAAGAACACCUCCAUGAUGAAGCCGGCUGCCAGCAGUCGGGCAAUUUCUUCUCCGACGACUCUUCUCUUCUCUUCUCUUAUCUUCUGACAGGCGACGCAAGGGCUGCCUGACUGGCUUGGCAUCACACCGGACAUGUAAUUUGUGCUCGGCGAAAUCCAUCGGGACACCUGGCAUGUCUUUGGGGGACCAUGCGAAGAUGUCCCGAUUCUCACGGAGGAAAUCACCGAGCUCGCCUUCCUAUUUGCUGUCGAGGUUUGUACCUAUGACAGCGUACCUCUCCGGGUGCUCUGGGUCCAAGGGUAUCUUCUUUGUUUCUUUGGCCGGCUUGAACGAGCCCUCAGUUUCUGACUCCUUGGGAUCGGGCGACAUCUCUGGCUGCUUGCUUGCCAUCGCCACAACCUGGUCAAGGAGCCGCUUCUCAGCUGCGAUCACGAGGGACUUGGCCAAUCGACUCCUCUUUGCUACGCAGGCGGAUGACUUCUUGUAGUCUCCAGCUAUGGUCAGAAUCCCCUUGGAACUCGGCAUCUUCAUCUUGAGGUAGGCAUAGUGGGGGACAGCCAUGAACUUCGCCAGUGCAGGCCGACCAAGUAACGCAUGGUAUGGGCUCUCAAGGUCCACCACUUCAAACCAUACUGACUCUCGGCGGAAAUGAUCUUUGUCUCCAAAGAGGACAUCUAUCAGAAUCUUGCCAAUUGGUGAGCAGGAAAGGCCAGGAACUAUGCCAUGGAAUACUAUCCGGCUGGGCUGAAGCUGCCUCUAUCUGAUUCCUAAUUUCUCCAUGGUAUCCUUGUAUAGGAUGUUAAUGCUGCUUCCGCCGUCUAUCACGACUCGGGAGAAGCGAGCUGCUCGCUUGUCCGUGGCAAAGGUGGCAUCCAAAAUCAGGGCAUAGGAGCCGGGCUUAGGCAUCACCUCCGGAUGGUCAGCUCUGCUCCAGCUGAUGGGCUUUUUAGACCAAUGCAUGAACUCUGGGGUCUCUGAUGCUACCGCAUUUACUUCUUGUUGCUACAGCCGCCUGCCGCGUCGAUCAUCGGCCACACUGGUGAAGAUGACAUAGGCUUCAUGCUCUUUUGGGUAUUCGUCUUGUAUUGCGCCGAAUGGUCUGACCGCCGGCUGCUGGGGCGGGGGAGGAGGCGGCUGCCCAGCAUGCGGGGGAGGCAUGAGGCCGUCUCCCUUGACGAUCCUGGUGAGCCAGUGGCACUUCCGAGUGGUGUGGUUGGACAGCUUCGCACCACUAUGGAAUUUGCAGGGAGCAUCCAAAGUCUGCUCAUAUGAGAAAGACGGCAGCCAGUUGGGCUUGCCGCCCUUCUGUCGUUUGGGCGGAGGCGGCCCUUCCGACUGCUGGUCUUCGACUGUUGCCACCUGUCGGCUGGUGGAAGCCGGCUGAAUGGCCUUACGCUUUUGGUCGUUCUGUUGUUGACGCUGACUGGCAUCUCCAGCCAGGGGUUCGAGGAGCCUGAGGAGCCACCUUGCCAGUCGCACUAACUUGGAUUUCCGCCUUCAUGGAGGAGUCGGCCGUGGUAUAUUUGUCUGCUAUGAUCAGCAGCUGGUUGAGGGUCUCUGGCUCAUCGCAGAGGAGCUUGUGCUUAAGGAGGGAUCCCUCUCGGCACCCGGCGGUGAAGUAUUCGAUGGCCUCCACAUUGUGCACGCCCUCGCAGGAGUUACGGAUCUCGGCCCAACGCGUGAGGUAGUCGCGAGUUGACUCAUUGGGGCCUUGCACGCACAAGGAAAGCUGGCGCGGUUUGGGAGGCCGCUUGUAUGUGCUGGUGAAGUUGCGAACGAAGGCAUCGGUGAAGUCGACCCAAUUGUUGAUGUUGCAGGUCUUCAAGCUGUGCAGCCAAGUCUGGGCCGUGCCCUGGAGCAUGAGCGGAACAUACUUCACGGCAACACGCUUGUUGCCGUUUGAUAUGCUGACAGCUGUGGAGUAGUCAACUAGCUAAUCUUCCGGCUUCACAGAGCUGGUGUAUUUGGGCGUGUCUAUUGGGAGUGUGAACCCUCUGGGGAAAGGCUCGUCUCGAAUGCGGGGGCCGAAACACGGCGGACCCAACUCAUCUUCUUCUUCAAGCGCCAGGGAUCGGUGGAGAAGGUCGAUCCAGUGGCGGGCAUCAUUCUCUCCGACUCCCUCUCGGCGGCCAAGGCGGUUGCCGAGUGUCGGGUGGUCAACAGGCGGCAGGGAGACUCCCCUUUCCCUGUGAGGGGGAGGAGGCGGACAGUCGUCCCGUCGUUCCACUGCUCUUGGGCGGCCGUCUUGGUCGCGCUCUAUGGUGAUACGAGUCCGACUGCGGCUAGCAGCCGGCUCCUUGUCUUUUCUUCCACGGACGCCACCGGUUGGUGUCCGAGAUGUCGUGCCUUGGUCUCGGCGGGGAUGCAGGUCAUCAUUCUGCCAACGCAGCGCAUCCGUGCAGCAACCGGCCUCAUUCUGCUCGACAGCCACGUCGAGGAGCCGCUGAACGCGCUCCGCCAUCAGGUGAUGCUCCUCGCCCUCGAACUUGUCUAGCUCGUCUGCUGCCGCUUGGGCAGCUCGGAUGUUUUCCGCCGGCAUGGCGUAGACGGGGCGAUCUGCCUCGAACAGGUUGGCGAUGGCCACGCCACGCUGCUGGACUACGCCAAGGCGGCUGGGUCCGGCGGGAGCCGGCGUGCCGCCCACAGCGCGGUCCAACUCGCGUUGAUAGGCCUCCGACAGGCGUCUCAUGCUGGCCAGCUUCUUGGCGCCUUCGACAAGCUGAAGGCGGCGCGCUUCUAGCAUCUCGGCAUCGGCGUCUUCGCGAAUGGGCGUGAUCAGGUCUAGUAGUGCCGCAUCAAGCGGGUCACGAGCAUCUCCGUCGGAGUGCUCGCCGUGACCGAUGGCAAGUACCUCCGUGACUGUGCUUUCGCCGCUCUUCGCGUGAGGGAGCGGCUCGUUGUAGACCACCACGUUGGUGCGGAACGCGUCGAGCGACACGGUGUCGGAGUCGACCAGUAUCGGGUCGGUGGAGCCUAUGGACUCCAAGUCCACAGCAGGCUCGCUGGCAACGUGGAGUUGGUCGAGGAGGCCCGCGAGGAGUCUCUCGGGGCCGCCCGUGCCCGCGUCGGAUGCGGGCUCAUUGAAGAGGCGGACCUCGCCGACAAGAUCGGCAUGGCAACUGGUCGCGCAGGCGAUUUCCGCGCCAAGCAGCGCGUCGGCGCAGACUCCGUCUGGCGUGCCGGGCUGGCUGCGCUCGCCAGGGAGAAAAAGGGUUACCGUCCAGAACAGGUCUCCGGACGACGGUGCACCUUGCCCCAUGAUGGGCGCCAAAUGUCGGAGGUUGGGUGCGACAUAUGCCAAAGGAUGGCUUAUCAUGGUGGGAGCGAGUAGAACGUCGCCGGUGCCCGGAAGCGGGAUUAGGCGUAGACACGAACGCCGACGUACUUUACCCAGGUUCGGGGCUCUCCUAGGAGAUAACACCCCUAUGUUGGAAAUAUGCCCUAGAGGCAAUAAUAAAUUAGUUAUUAUUAUUAUAUUUCAUUGUUCAUGAUAAUCGUUUAUUAUCCAUGCUAGAAUUGUAUUGAUAGGAAACUCAGAUACAUGUGUGGAUACAUAGACAACACCAUGUCCCUAGUAAGCCUCUAGUUGACUAGCUCGUUGAUCAAUAGAUGGUUACGGUUUCCUGACCAUGGACAUUGGAUAUCGUUGAUAACGGGAUCACAUCAUUAGGAGAAUGAUGUGAUGGACAAGACCCAAUCCUAAGCCUAGCACAAAGAUCGUGUAGUUCGUAUGCUAAAGCUUUUCUAAUGUCAAGUAUCAUUUCCUUAGACCAUGAGAUUGUGCAACUCCCGGAUACCGUAGGAGUGCUUUGGGUGUACCAAACGUCACAACGUAACUGGGUGGCUAUAAAGGUUCACUACAGGUAUCUCCGAAAGUGUCUAUUGGGUUGGCACGAAUCAAGACUGGGAUUUGUCACUCCAUGUAAACGGAGAGGUAUCUCUGGGCCCACUCGGUAGGACAUCAUCAUAAUGUGCACAAUGUGACCAAGGAGUUGAUCACGGGAUGAUGUGUUACGGAACGAGUAAAGAGACUUGCCGGUAAUGAGAUUGAACAAGGUAUCGGGAUACCGACGAUCGAAUCUCGGGCAAGUAUCGUACCGAUAGACAAAGGGAAUUGUAUACGGGAUUGAUUGAAUCCUCGACAUCGUGGUUCAUCCGAUGAGAUCAUCGUGGAACAUGUGGGAGCCAUCAUGGGUAUCCAGAUCCCGCUGUUGGUUAUUGGCUGGAGAGUUGUCUCGGUCAUGUCUGCAUGGUUCCCGAACCCGUAGGGUCUACACACUUAAGGUUCGGUGACGCUAGAGUUGUUAUGGGAAAUAGUAUGUGGUUACCGAAGGUUGUUUGGAGUCCCGGAUGAGAUCCCGGACAUGACGAGGAGCUCCGAAAUGGUCCGGAGGUGAAGAUCGGUAUAUUGGACGAAGGGUAUUGGAGUCCGGAAUUGUUCUAGGGGUACCAGGUGAUGACCAGUGUGUCCGAAAGGGGUUUCGGAGGCCCCGGCAAGCGUUGGGGGGCCUUAUGGGCUAAGGGGAGAGGGCACAUUAGCCCACUAAGGGGCUGAGCGCCCCUCCCACCCCAUCUCACGUAACCAGGAGAGGUGGGGGCGCCACCCCUAGGGCAGCCGCCCCUCCCGGCUUGGGGGCAAGUUUCCUAGGGGGUGGGGGCGCCCAAACCCAUCUAGGGUUUCCCCUGUGGCCGCCGCCCCUCCCCUAGGGAACCCUAGGGCGCCUCCCCCUCCUCCCUUCCCCCUAUAUAUAGUGAGGGAGAGAGUGGGCAGCCGCAACCUUUCCCUGGCGCAGCCCUCUCCCUCCUCCAACACCUCGUCCUCCUCCGUAGUGCUUGGCGAAGCCCUGCCGGAGAACCACGAGCUCCAUCACCACCAUGCCGUCGUGCUGUCGGAGUUUUCCCUCAACUUCUCCUAUCCCCUUGCUGGAUCAAGAAGGAGGAGACAUCCCCGGGCUGUACGUGUGUUGAACGCGGAGGUGCCGUCCGUUCGGCACUAGGAUCAUCGGUGAUUUGGAUCACGACGAGUACGACUCCAUCAACCCCGUUCACUUGAACGCUUCCACUUAGCGAUCUACAAGGGUAUGUAGAUGCACUCCCCUCUCCCUCGUUGCUAGAUGGAUCCAUAGAUUGAUCUUGGUGAUGCGUAGAAAAUUUUAAAAUUCUGCUACGUUCCCCAUCAGUGGCAUCAUGAGCUAGGUCUAUGCGUAGUUUCUAUGCACGAGUAGAACACAAAGCAGUUGUGGGCGUCGAUAUUGUCAAUUUACUUGCCGUUACUAGUAUUAUCUUGAUUCGGCAGCAUCGUGGGAUGAAGCGGCCCGGACCGACCUUACACGUACGCUUACGUGAGACUGGUUCCACCGACUGACAUGCACUAGUUGCAUAAGGUGGCUAGCAGGUGUCUGUCUCUCCCACUUUAGUCGGAUCGGAUUUGAUGAAAAGGGUCCUUAUGAAGGGUAAAUAGAAAUUGGCAUAUCACGUUGUGGUUUUGGCGUAGGUAAGAAAUAUUCUUGCUAGAAACCUAUAGCAGCCACGUAAAAAUUUGCAACAACAAUUAGAGGACGUCUAACUUGUUUUUGCAGCAUGUGCCGUGUGAUGUGAUAUGGCCAAAAGGAUGUGAUGAAUGAUAUAUGUGAUGUAUGAGAUUGAUCAUGUUCUUGUAAUAGGAAUCACGACUUGCAUGUCGAUGAGUAUGACAACCGGGAGGAGCCAUAGGAGUUGUCUUAAUUUAUUCUUGACCUGCGUGUCAACAUAAACAUCAUGUAAUUACUUUACUUUAUUGCUAAAGCGUUAGCCAUAGUAGUAGAAGUAAUAGAUGACGAGACAACUUCAAGAAGACACGAUGAUGGAGAUCAUGAUGAUGGAGAUCAUGGUGUCAUAGCGGUGACAACGAUGAUCAUGGAGCCCCGAAGAUGGAGAUCAAAAGGAGCAAAAUGAUAUUGGCCAUAUCAUGUCACUAUUUGAUUGCAUGUGAUGUUUAUCAUGUUUUACAUCUUAUUUGCUUAGAACGACGGUAGCUUAAAUAAGAUGAUCCCUCACUAAAAUUUCAAGAAAAGUGUUCCCCCUAACUGUGCACCGUUGCGAAGGUUCAUUGUUUCGAAGCACCACGUGAUGAUCGGGUGUGAUAGAUUCUAACGUUCGAAUACAACGGGUGUUGACGAGCCUAGCAUGUACAGACAUGGCCUCGGGACACAUGCGAAACACUUAGGUUGACUUGACGAGCCUAGCAUGUACAGACAUGGCCUCGGAACACGGAAGACCGAAAGGUCGAACAUGAGUCGUAUAGAAGAUACGAUCAACAUGAGAUGUUCACCGUUGAUGACUAGUCCGUCUCACGUGAUGAUCGGACACGGCCUAGUCGAUUCGGAUCAUGUUUCACUUAGAUGACUAGAGGGAUGUCUACCUGAGUGGGAGUUUAUUAAAUAAUUUGAUUAGAUGAACUCAAUUAUCAACAUAGUCUAAAUUGUCUUUGCAAAUAUGUUGUAGAUGAAUAGCUCACGUUGUAGCUCCCUGUUUCAAUACGUUCCUAGAGAAAGACCAAGUUGAAAGAUAUUGUAAGCAAUGAUGCGGACUAGGUCCGUAGUCUGAGGAGUGUCCUCACUGCUACAGAGAAGGCUUACAUCCUUGAUGCACCGCUCGAUGUGCAAACCCCUACAACGUCGUUUGUGGAUGUUGUGAACACCUGACAGACACAUCCUGAUGACUACUUGAUAGUUUAGUGCACCAUACGUUACGGCUUAGAAUCGGGAUUCCAAUGACGUUUUGAACGCCAUAGAACAUAUGAGAUGUUCCAAGAGCUGAAAUUGGGAUUUUAGGCUCAUGCCCGUGUUGAGAGGUAUGAGACCUCUGACAAGUUCUUUUGCCAACAAGAUGGAGGAGAAUAGCUCAGCUAGUGAGCAUGUGCUCAGAAUGUCUGGGUGCUACAAUCACUUAAAUCAAGUGGGAGCUAAACUUCUAGAUAAGAUAGUGAUUGAUAGAGUUCUCUAGCCACUAUCACUAAGCUAUUAGAUCUUCGUGAUGAACUAUGACAUGCAAGGGAUGGAGUUGAUCCCGGAGCUGUUCGCGGUGCUUAAGACCGCAAAAGGUAGAAAUCAAGAGGGAGCAUCAAGUGUUGAUGGUUUAACAAGACCACUGGUUUCAAGAAGGGCAAGGGCUAGAAGGGAAACUUCAUGGAUGGCAAACCAGUUGCCGCUCCAGUAAAGGAACCCAAGGUUGAACCCAAACCCGAGACUAAGUGCUUCUAUUGUAAGGGGGACGGUCACUGGUAGUGGAAUUACCCCAAAUGCAUGGUAGAUAAGAAGGCUGGCAACUUCAACAAAGUAUAUACAUGUUAUUAAUGUGUACCUCACUAGUACUCCUGGUAGCACCUGGGUAUUGGAUACUUUCAGUUGCUAUUAUUGGUGACUUGAAGCAAAAGCUACGGACUAAACGGAGACUGCCUAAGGGAGAGGUGACGAUGUGUGUUGGAAGUGUUUCCAAAGUUGAUGAGAUCACCAUCGCACGCUUCAUCUACCUUCGGGAUUAGUAUUGAACCUAGAUAAAUGUUAUCAGGUGUCUACGUUGAGCAUGAAUAUGAUUAGAUCAUGUUCAGUGCAAUACAGUUAUUCAUUUAAGUUAGAGAAUAAUGGUUAUUCUGUUUACAUGAAUAAUACCUUCCAUGGUCAUGCACCCUAUGUGAAUGGUUCAGUGAAUCUCGGUCGUAGUAAUACACAUGUUCACGCCAAAAGAUGUAGAUAGUACCACUUUCUUGUGGCACUGCCGCUUAGGUCAUAUUGGUGUAAGAUGCAUGAAGAAACUCCAUAUCGAUGGAUGUUUGGAGUCACUUGAUUUUGAAUCGCUUGACACAUGCGAGCCAUGCCUCAUGGGCAGGAUGACUAAGACCCCGGUUUCAGGUACAAUGAAACGGGCAAGUGACUUGUUGGAAAUCAUACAUGCUGAUGCGUGUGAUCCAAUGAGAAUUGAAGCGUGCGGUGGAUAUCGCUAUUUUCUCAUCUUCACUGAUGAUUUGAGUAGAUAUAGGUAUAUUUACUUAAUGAAGCACAAGUCUGAAACGUUUGAAAAGUUCAAGCAAUUUCAGAGUGAAGUUAAGAAUCAUCAUAACAAGAAGAUCAAAUUCCUACGAUCUGAUCAAUGAGAAUUUCUGAGUUAUGAGUUUGGAAAACACUUAAGACAUUGUGGAAUUGUUUCACAGUUGAAGCCACCUGGAACACCACAGGGUAAUGGUGUGUCCGGACGUCAUAAUCGAACCUUAUGAAAUAUGGUGCGAUCUAUGAUGUCUCUUACCAAUCUACCGCUAUUAUUUUGAGGUUAUGCAUUAGAGACAGCUGCAUUCACUUUAGAUAGGACACCAUAUAAGUCUGUUGAGACGACGCCGUAUGAACAUUGGUUUGGCAAGAAACCAAAGUUGUCGUUUCUUAAUGUUUGGGGCUGCGAUGCUUAAGGCUUUAGCCGGAGAAGCUCGAACCCAAAGCGGACAAACACAUCUUCAUAGGAUACCCAACGGUGACAGUUGGGUAUACCUUCUAUCUCAGAUCCGAGGGCAAAUUGUUUGUCGCUAAGAACGGGUCCUUUCUCGAGAAGGAGUUUCUCUCGAAAGAAUUGAGUGGGAGGAAGAUAGAACUUGAUGAGGUUGUCGAACCUUUACUUCAACCAGAGAGUGAUGCAACACAGAAAGAUGUUUUUUGUGGCGCCUACAUCUGUUGAAUAGGAAGUUAAUGAUAGUGAUCAUGAAGCUUCAGAUCAAGUUGCUAUCGAACCUCGUAGGUCGACAAGGAUAUGUACUACUCCUGAGUGGUACGGUAAUCCUGUCUUAGAUAUCAUGUUGUUAGACAACAAUGAACCUACGAGCUAUGGAGAAGCGAUGGUGGGCCCGUAUUCCGACAAAUGGUUAGAAGCCAUGAAAUCCGAGAUAGGAUCCAUGUAUCAGAACAGAGUAUGGACUUUGGUGGAUGAGGGAGUCCUGGAUUAGGGGGUGUUCGGAUAGCCAAACUAUACCUUCAGCCGGACUCCUGGACUAUGAAGAUACAAGAUUGAAGACUCUGUCCCGCGUCCGGAAGGGACUUUCCUUGGCGUGGAAGGCAAGCUUGGCGAUACGGAUAUGAAGAUCUCCUACCAUUGUAACCGACUCUAUGUAACCCUAACCCUAUCCGGUGUCUAUAUAAACCGGAGGGUUUUAGUCCGUAGGACAACAUACACAUCAACAAUCAUACCAUAGGCUAGCUUCUAGGGUUUAGCCUCUCUGAUCUCGUGGUAGAUCUACUCUUGUACUACCCAUAUCAUCAAUAUUAAUCAAGCAGGACGUAGGGUUUUACCUCCAUCGAGAGGGCCCGAACCUGGGUAAAACUUCGUGUCCCUUGCCUCCUGUUACCAUCCGGCCUAGACACACAGUUCGGGACCCCCUACCCGAGAUCCGCCGGUUUUGACACCGACAUUGGUGCUUUCAUUGAGAGUUCCUCUGUGCCGUCGCCGUCAGGCCCGAUGGCUAUUACAAUCAUCAAUGGCGAUGCAGUCCAGGGUGAGACCUUCCUCCCCGGACAGAUCUUCGUCUUUGGCGGCUUUGCACUGCGGGCCAACUCACUUGGCCAUCUAGAGCAGAUCAAAAGCUACGCCCCUGGCCGUCAGGUCAGAUUCGGAAGUUUAAACUACACGGCUGACAUCCGCGGGGACUUGAUCUUCAACGGAUUCGAACCACUGCCGAGCGCGCCGCACUAUCACGACGAGCAUGAUCUAGCUCUACCGCCGAACAGUGCCCUGGAGGCCGCACCCGCAUCGGCUUCGACCCUUAGUUCGGAGCCAACCGCGCCGAUCGAGGAUGGGCGGUUGGACGCCACCUCGGGGGCUGUAAUCCCAAUAGCGGUUGAGCCGAACACCAGCCCCGUACUCUGCAAGACUUGUGACUCCAUGGAGCCGGAUUAUUCUCCGGACUCCGAACCCUCCGCGCCCCUGCCGAUCGAAUCCGAUUGGGCGCCGAUCAUGGAGUUCACAGCCGCGGACGUCUUUCAGCACUCGCCUUUCGGCGAUAUCCUGAAGUCACUGAAGUCUCUCUCUUUAUCAGGAGAACCGUGGCCAGACUACGGCCAGCAAGGUUGGGGUACGGACGAUGAAGAAAUUCAAAACCCACCCACCACCCACUUCGUAGCCAUUGUCGACGACUUAACCGACAUGCUCGACUUCGACUCUGACGACAUUGACGGUAUGGAUGCCGAUGAAGGAGACGAUGAAGAAUCAGCGCCUAUUGAGCCCUGGAACGCCACCUCGUCAGACGGCGUAUACAUGGUGGAGGCACCAAAAGAUGACGACGAAGAGCUGAAGGACGCACCGAAGGAUUGUUCCCUCGAAAAGCAGUCAAAGCGGCGACGCAAGCGCCGCCCCAAAUCCCGCCUCGACAUAAAUAGCGAUCACACAGACCCAUCGCUGGAGCAGGGCGAACCGCUGCCGGACAACGGCAAUCUGGAUAAUCAAACCGAACAAACAAACCCUAUCAAGGAUAAUGGUCCGGACGACAUAACACCGGACAGGCACCCAGAGCAGCAUAACGCCCGUAAAAGGCUUGUUGCCACCGCGAGGAGUCUUAAAAAGCAGAAGCGAAGGCUCAAGGCUGCGCAAGACACACUCCAAUUCAGAUGGAGCAAAAUACUCAACACUGCAGCAAGGUACGGCGACAAUCGCCCCUCCAAGAGCUACCCAAAGCGGAAGCUGCUACCCGAAUAUGAUGAGGAGGCCGCAGACCCCCCACAACCAAAUAUCAAAGCAGCCACCUGGUCGGAUAGACGACCCCUCUACCAACACAGAGCGGCAUACAACGCUGCUCACAAUACAACAUGCAACCCAGGCGAGGGUUCGCACCCAAAGGACGGCGCAACAAGAUCCAUCUAUGGACCACACAAGCGCCCCCCAGCAUACAAUCCAACACAACAAAUAUCCGAACAACACGGUACACCCAGCUACAGGGGUGCCGCACACCCUCUAUGUUUCACCAACGAGGUGCUGGACCAUGAAUUUCCAGAGGGAUUCAAACCCAUAAACAUAGAGGCAUACGAUGGAACAACAGACCCCGGGGUUUGGAUUGAGGACUAUAUCCUUCAUAUCCAUAUGGCUCGAGGAGAUGAUCUCCAUGCCAUCAAAUACUUACCCCUCAAGCUCAAAGGGCCAGCUCGUCACUGGCUCAAAGGCCUCCCCGAAAGCUCCAUUGGAAGUUGGGAAGAGCUCGAAGACGUUUUUCGGGCAAAUUUUCAAGGGACUUACGUCCGACCUCCGGAUGCGGACGAUCUGAGUUAUAUAACUCAGCAGCCCGGAGAGUCAGCCCGAAAGCUUUGGAAUAGGUUUCUUACUAAAAAGAACCAGAUUGUCGACUGUCCGGACGCCGAAGCCUUAGCGGCUUUCAAGCAUAGCGUCCGUGACGAAUGGCUCGCCAGACACCUCGGCCAAAAUAAGCCGAGAAUGAUGGCCGCAUUAACAAACCUCAUGACCCGCUUUUGCGUGGGUGAGGACAGCUGGCUAGCCAGAUGCGCACCAGCGACCCCAGUACAUCGGAAGUUAGAGAUGGAAACGGGAAAUCACGGCGCAACAGCAAUAACAAACGCCGGAAUAAAGAAGACAUCAUGAAUGGCACGGCAGUAAAUGCCGGAUUCAAAAGCUCUCGGCCAGGUCAAAAGCCGCCCACUAAAGGCACCAGGGAUGAACUGUCCAGCCUCAACAAAAUUCUGGACCAAGUAUGUCAGAUCCACAGUACCCCGGGUAAACCUGCUAAUCAUACCCACAGAGAAUGUUGGGUCUUCAAGCAGUCCGGCAAGCUCAACGCCGUUCACAAGGGGGAGGACACACCAAGUGAAGACGAGGACGAGCCCCCCAAGCAAGACAUGGGGGAACAAAAGAAAUUCCCACCAGAAGUGAAAACAGUAAACGUACUACACAUGAUCAAGGGAAAAAACAAUGCGGCACCCCCAGGAAAAUAUACCCAAGUGCCUGUCACCUCGAAGUCCUGCCAAUGGUCGUCUCAACCGAUCACUUUCGACCAUCGUGAUUACUCAACAAGUAUCCGACACGCAGGAUGGGCUGCCUUGGUAUUAGACCCAGUAAUUGGCGGAUAUCACUUCACACGAGUCUUGAUGGACGGCAGCAGCAGCCUAAACCUAAUAUACCAGGAUACAAUCCGCGGGAUGGGGUUAGACCCAACACAAAUUCGCCAUAGAAAUACUACCUUUAAAGGAGUAACGCCAGGCCCAAGGGCUCGUUGUACGGGCUCCCUCCUACUACAAGUUAUAUUCGGCUCCCCCGAUAACUUCCGUAGCGAGCAUUUAACCUUCCACAUCGCUCCGUUUCAAAGUGGCUAUCAAGCACUGCUCGGGCGUGAAGCUUUCGCUCGCUUUAAUGCAAUACCACACCACGCCUCCCUCACACUCAAGAUGCCCGGUCCACGCGGCAUCAUUUCAGUGCACGGAAAUAUCAAGCGAUCUCUGCGCGCCGAAGAGAGUGAGGCUGCCUUGGCAGCCACACACUAAAGGCGCCCGGACUAGCCAAAGCGCCCCAUAGGUCGUCAAGACCUCAGACACAACUAAUUGAGUCCGGCGCCGCUACUUAUACCGAAUAAAUGGUCACACCCCUAUUUACAAGGGGCUCAACGCGCGCAGACAUGUGGCCAUUCCUCCUCAUCUUGAAUUAUGCAUAGUUUCUUCAAUUUUCUUUUUGCAUGACAACCUUUUUCACCUAAAUUCCUCUCUUUUAUAGACGAUCAUCGUGCUACACCCGUCCAGGAUACGGCACAAUGGAGACACAGGCGUAGACGGGCAGCAGGGACCCACUCCAAGGAUUCUUUUUAGAUUAAGACCCUGCCUAAACCUUUUUUACUGUCUCUUGUUGAUACACAUCCACCGUUGAGAAGGAUGUUGACGUCUUGGCAUGUGGCCAUGCCAGAACAAUGCACGUACCUGGACACAAGGGGCUUCUCACAAAGGCCAUUACUUAGGCCCGGUUUAUACCACAAAGACCGAAUACCAUAGGGAGUGUUCGGCGUCGCGAGUUUGGACCUAUAUGCAUCAGCUCCGAAUCAUUGUCUUUGGUCAAAUGUUGGGUUUGCCCGGCUCCUGUGUUUUGGUGCCUUACGUUCCGCUUUACCGGCUAAGGUAGCACCAGGAGAACUACUGUGAUUGUGCCCUGGUUCAUCCGGACGAGCACCUCAGUAGAGAAAGCCGAAAACUGACUGUCAUGAUAUAGCGUGAGACUGGUCAACCACUCAAUGACCCAUGGGAAUGUUAGAAUUCCCCCGCCUUAAUGAAGGGCCGCUUUCCGGCCAGGCAUAUACGCACCCCGGGACCAGGAGAGUGCGGAGCCACCAGGGGCUAUCUAGUAGCCCCACUGUCAAACUCCUAUGGCUAAGUGAAAGUGUUAAAGCAUUAUAGUCUGGUUGCCUCGCUCGCUCCGCUAUCACCUCCUUAAUAGGACCAAGACGUUGGGUUAAGUGUGAAUGCGUGUUUCUGUGAACACCUCCGCAUUAUAUGCGUGGGGGUUGAAGCCGACGACUACAAUCUUUCAGGUUAUACACAUGCAUACAUAAACGGCCGCCCAGGAGGCAUCACAAUACUUUCAGGCAAAAGUAUAAAAGUAGACUUAUGAAAAUGUAUAAAAGCAUUUCACUUACAAUGAGAUUACAUGUCACUCAAACAUAAUAUCUUUUGAGCACUAGGUCUCUAUCAAACGAGCACCCUCAAGAACUUCCUCAAAGUAGUGCUCAGCAGCCCUUCGACCUAUGGUCGAAUCCUGCGCUGCAACAGUGGUAGCAUCCAUCUCUGCCCAGUAUGCUUUAGCACGGGCAAAGGCCAUUCGUGCACCUUCUAUGCACGCCGACCUCUUCAUCGCAUUUAUGCGCGGCACCAUGUCAAGGAACUGCUGCACCAAGCUGAAAUAGCUGCUCGGUUUUGACCUUUUCGGCCAUAGCUGAUCCACAACAGACCUCAUGGAGAGUCCGGACAACCUAUUUAGUUCGGCCCAUUCAGCUAAUUGGUCCGUCAAUGAAAGCGGACGCUCGGGAGAAAGGAAUUGUUUCCAAAACAGCUGGUCUACUUCAUGGUCCGUCUGACUCUGGAAGUACUUGGCCGCAUCGGCAGCGCUCGCCGCCAAAUCCAUAUACACAUCUUCCGAACUCCACAGCCGAUCCAGAGGAGCAUACCGUGGAUCUCCGAACUUCCUCUGUAGCAUAAAGGAUUUCCCGGCUACAAUAUCCCCGGCUUCCCGCAGCUCCUCCUUCUUUGCCCUCAGUGCAGAGUGGAGGUCUUUUCCCGUUGCAGCAGCCUUCUCAAGGGCCGAUACCUUCACCUGCUUUUCCUUUUCAAGAACCCAGCAACGGUCGGUGGCGGCUUUUAAUUCUAUGGCCGUCUUGCCAUCUUAUCUCGGCUCUCGCCAUGCGCGGCCUUCUCGGUUUGCAACUCUUCGGCCGCCUUCAAAGCAGCCGCAUUACCCACCAUCGCUUGUUCCUUGGCUCGGGCAUGUUCUGCCCGCAAGGCUUCAACAGUGGCAGCUCCAUCUGCAGUCACAACACAUUAAAGAUACUGGCAUCAUGCUUCUCUUCCUAUGUGGCGUUUACCAGAUAAUGACACUUACCUUGGGCCUCGUCAAGCCUUUUGUUAACAAGCUCGAUGUUGGUGUCUGCCGCAUCCAACUGCCAUUCUAAAUGGGCAAACUCGCGAGCCUGGCUAGCCACCAAAGCUUCCAUUACCUGCACAUAAAGGCAGUAUGGUUAUUACCUGGGAAUAUGAUCCUCUGUUCGUCAUCGUUUCGAACAACGACCAGAGUCUCAGGGGCUACUAUUUACACAAGGCACACCUAGUAUGUGCAGGACUAUCAUACAUUAUUUUACAUACCUCAAAGCCUGUCAGUAGACUCAUAAAAGCUUUAUGCAAUCCGCUUUCGGCGGACGAGAUUCUCUCCAUCACCGUAAUCAUCAGCAAACGGUGUUCAUCUGAGAUGGCCGCUCGCCCCACCAACUCCCUCAGAACAUUCGAUCGCACACUAGACGGUGUCGAACUCUUUUGUCUGCUCUCUUCGGGAGCCGGACACUGGGAGCUUCGGGGGUCGGCGGGAUUAUCUUUUGGCCUCGCCGGACUUGGAGAGGCCCUCCACGACGACACUUCAGGGUCGCCCGCUUCCGCAGCGAAGGAGUCCGGAGGAGGCGUUUCGCUCUCCAUCAUCUCUGGAAGAAGAUCCCCCGAAGACGAGCUCAUUUGAAAGGGGCUAAGGCCCGAACUGCUAAGAUAUAUGCGGUGGUUAUUUUCUCAGAAGAAAAAGAUGGCAUAUCUGUACUGUUAAAGUAUUCCGGGUCACUUACGACUCGCGGGAGAAUUGAUCCCCCCGCGGACUUUGUGCGGCAACAGCACCCCCCAAGGUAGGACCCUCGGUGGGAGACUUCUUCUCCUGUUUGGAAGCUUCGGCUUCCGAAUCCCCGGGCGUGGUCCUUUUCCUCUUCCGGUCGUCUUCCUUCAUGGAGACACCCUGUAGCGACCAGACCUCAAAUAGUCUGAUCUCUGUGCUCUGGUGUCAUCCCUGGAUCAGUAAUGCUGACACCACACAGUACUCGGAGGAUUUAUAUCAGAGUAGCAAUCACACACUUAUUACAUCGAGUGUCUCAAGAGAGAACUUAUUAUAAUAAAUAUGGCUUAAGGCCAUCUAAUAAUGAUAACAACGGAAGGCUUGGAAGAUAAGUGAGUCCAUCAACUCCAACGACAUCACUAAGUAUUGAACCACGACCUAAAAACUCCUUAAUCAUCGUCUGAAAAGUCUGCAACAUUAACGUUGCAGCCCGAAAACGGGUCAGCACAUGGAAUAUGCUGGCAAGGUAACACAUAGAGAGUAAUGGAAUGAAACAGCUAUACUAUAUGCAUAUUUGGCUGGGGGAAAGCUCUAUGGUUAUAGUUUUGCGUAAAGCCAAUUUUUCCCUACUUCAAAGGAAUAAAAUUUUAAUUACUAACAAGGUGGUUGUUAAACAUUGAGAAUGGUUGACAACAUUCUCAAUCCCAAUUAAGCAUCAUCAUUAAACAUAACCCAACAAAAUUAAUUUAGAGUAACAUGUUGAGAUUCACAUGAUAAUCCAAGUACUAGAUACUCAAGAUGUCCAUAACCGGGGACACGGCUAACCAUGAUUAGUUUGUUACACUCUGCAGAGGUUUGCGCACUUUUCCCCACAAGACUCGAUCGCCUCCGUUUGUUUUCUCGCACUACAUGGUGUUUGAGAAGACGGAUGACCGAGACAUAGUCUUUCAGAAGCGCUAGCACCUUACGAUUGGGUAGACCGUACCACCUACAUCCCUUACAUCUGCUAGUCUACCACUGUAAGAGUUCGCACAACUUAGUCAACUAUGCUAGAGCCCAUAAUAGCUUGUGGCUGCACACGGAAGUUUCUAGUAUGAAUAGUCUCAUGAUCCCUUUAAGCCUGGGUGGCGGUCCAAAAGAAAACAGGCAAGUCCUGGAAUACCCAGGUGCCUCAAUCCACCCAGAUGUGUGUUUAAGUUGCCACCUUAGAUAAACCAUUAAUUAUCAAUCUCACAUCUGUCAUGGAUAUCACUCACCCAAUCCACGUCUACUAGCAUAGCAUGGCAUAAUAAGCAAACGUAGAAGUAACUCCCAAAGGUUUGAUAAUAAACAGGUAAUAGGUACUACCUCAUCUACUUCCCAUCCCACAAUUUAAUUAGAUCCUAAUCAUGCAAUGUGUGAGGAUUGAUCUAAUGCAAUAAAACUGGGUAGUAGAAAAAGGUAUGAUCAAAGUGUUACUUGCCUUGGUGAUGAUCCGGGAAACCUAACGAUUCGAAGUAACAGGCGGCGCACUCCGGAUACUCUAUAGCAGACAAACAAACAAGCAUACAAUAAGUACUCAUAUAAUGCACAGGUAAAACUCAAAUAAGAGAUCUAACCAGAAGGUUUAACUUAAGAACUCCGGUUGGCAAAAAGAAUCAAAUCGAACGAAGCAACGAAAGUCAAACGGUGAAAGAAAACAACUUCGUUCUAGUAAUCUGGAUCUAGGGCAAGUUUUACAGUAGCAAAAUCUUGUUUAAGUUGGUUAAAUGGAUAGAGGGUUUCGAGAUGAAACUCUAGGCGCUUGAAUCGCCUGAUUCCGAUAAACGACUGAAAAGUUAUACUAAAACGAAAAUCGGAUCAAGAAUCGCGAUCAGAAAAAUUGCCGAUUUAAUCCGAGAAAAAGAAAACAACGAACGGAUUAACGAACGAACGUUCGUUAUCCAGAUCUAAACGAUGAACGUGUUCGUUUAAAUGAACAAACCAGCGAACACUCUCUAUUUAACCUAAACCGAAAAAACCGAUCUAAAAAAACGAAACAAAAAAAAAC
rnacentral:lncRNA from 1 species